ACCCUCCCCCUUUCAAAUCAUCUUUUACGGUUACAAUCAAGGUCACAAUUUCCAUCUUCCAUUCAGCAUUCUGAAAUUCCAAUGCAAAUUCAAACCUUUUACUCUAGCAGAAGUGUUCUGUUACUUACAUUGCAUAUUACCCUAAAAGAUACAGUUUCCAUACAAACUAGACCUAAUCAAAUACCAACUAGUAGACCAAAUAACUUCUAAAUUCAUUGAUUCAAUUAGUAGACCUAAUCGCAAAGACAUCCACAUAAUGGCCAAGAAACAGAGACUAAAAGGCAAAAUCACAAAGAUCUCCAUCCAACAUCAAGUGAGCGACACCCUACUUCACUAUAACCAAGAGGUACAGCGGAUAAUAAGAAGGGCGAAGAGCGCUCACGGUGCUCCUGCGGCGUUCGGCAGCGAUGGCGAAGCCGAAGGCAGUGAGGCUGAGGGCGACCACAAGGAUGUGGACAAGCGUAGAAGCCUUCCCUUCUCCCAUCGCCCUCUUUUCUCACUCGCUCAAAGAAGUAAGAAGGUGUGGGGUGGUGUGAAGUGGAAAGUGCGAAGUAAGAGACGGCCGUGGAAUAAAGGCAGCGCGGCCUCAGCAGCGGCCCCUACUUUUUCAACUCCGUGCUGUUAGAUUGCCCGCAGAGUUGACUGGAAUUUCAGGGCGUGUCACCAACCUCUUGCUCGUUGGUCUUUCGAAUGGUCAUCGCUCUGCAUGUGAUAUCAAUAUGUUAACCUAAAUCAUUAUUUCACUAUAUUGAUGCUUGAUAUUUCUAAUUUGUUAGUCUUUCAUCUCAACCGAGAUCAAGCAACAUGUUUGCUUACAUUUUGAUGUCGUCAAGCAUCAGAUGGUUGGACACGUGAUCCGUGAAGAAUACAAAAUUCAGUGGGGCCAAAGAAACUUUUAGGAUUUUCUCUCGGGCAGGCAAGCGAUCCUUUGGAAGCUACCUCAAACGCAUCCAUGCAACUUGUUCACAUCAGAUCUAGUUCUCACCGACAAAAUUCUGUAGUACCUACAGAGCCGCUUAAGGGAGUGGUCAUGCGCUAGCGGAGAAAGGGCGAGCUCGAAGUGGCACGCACCUCCUUGCUUAGAAAACGAGUGUCAAAGACUCAAGUUCUUGGAUGAUGUUAUCCCUCAAGAUAUUAAAUUUUCUGAAAAAUAAUAUUUCUAAAUUUACGAGUUCAUAUCCCAGAAAUGUUUGGAUACAUCCUCUUCUCUUAUUGGAUGGGACUUCUCUCUUCCAUCUUGAAGAAGAAGCGAUAUCGAAAGAAGAACUGGUAUGGAGGCCAUAAUUUGUAGGGAUAUGCACCGAUUAAUCUGCUCCAGCAAUCGAACUUAAAUGAGAGAGAAAUAUCAAGAUCAUAUAGGAUCUUUCAAGAAGGUUGCUGGUCUCCACGAGGACCAAGUCCAGGCAUUGACCUUGCUACGGUCAUGCUCAGAGAAUGUGAAGAUUGGCAUUCUUAUCGAUUCCUGAUCUCCCAAAGGACAAGACAGAUAUCUAAACAACAGGACUAAUAAUAAGACACGCACUUUAAUUUACAAUAUCUUCAACAAAGCAUCAUACCUGCAAAAAUAAUUGUUCAAUGUGGAUUAAAAAAAACGAAAAAGAAAAAGAAGUUUCAGCACAUACAAAUUCAUCGAAGUGCUAAUAAAAGCUGUCAAAACUUUGUUGGUGUCACCUAUAAAUUUAAUGUCGUCACGCAUUAGGCUUAUGUUUAGGCCUGUGACUCUGUUCAAAAUCUACUUCUGGCAGCUGUUCAAGUUUUUCUCGGAGUGUUUCACCAAUGUCAUGAGCUUGGCACAGAGGCAUAUUCCCAGGCAAGGCAAUGUCCACCUCAACGAAGUAUUGAGAACCGAAAGUAUAUGCUCUAACCGUAGCGAUAUGAUUGAUUCCUGCAUGGCGAUUCCAAAUGAUACCGUCAACUUCGCAAAGAAGUCAGGGGGUGCUGUUUUCCCAAUUAAUGACCAUACAUUCUCCAUGACAGUCCUUGCCCAUGUACUCAUCGUGUAUAAAAAAGCUAUCUGCAACAAAAUCCAGUACGAAUCAGCACACUCAUGGAUGGAGCAUUGCUAGCCGGUCCUGGGCCAAAUAUCGAUAGAUACAUCGACCAACUGAAUUAAUUACGCUGCUUUGUAGCACGUAGUAUCUGUCUUUAUUCGUCCUCUUUGCCCUUUACUAGAAAGCUAAGGAAAGCCGAAGCACUGUAUUCUUUUCCCGUCUUCCAUGGUAGGGGGGGGAAGGGAAAAGGGAAAAGUGAAAAUAGAGAUCGAAGAAGCAGGUAUAUAGAAAAGAGAAGAGAUUGGAGCAUGACAUACCAAGAGUCAUCAUACCAACAUCCACUGUCUCAUCUUCAAUUGUUCUUUUUUUUCAUGAGACAGCAAGACAUUUAUUAGAAAUCGUUUCAUUCAAAGCACCGCAUUUGCCAUCACUGUUAACAUCACUCUUACUCGUAAUAAUUUCAGACCUUGGUCUUAUGUUCUGGCCUAUGAGUGAACUCGAAAUCUAUGUGCACAAAUGCGCGUUCGACUUCCGGUAGCUGCUCAAGCUUUUCCUGGAGUGUUUCCCCGAUGUCAUGCGCCUGGCUCAAAGGCAUAUUACCAGGUAAGACUAUAUCUACUUCGACAAAAUAGUGAGAACCAAAUGUAUAUGCUCGGACUGUGUCAAUAUGCCUGAUUUCUUCAUGGUGAUUCCAAAUGAGGUAUGUCAGCUUUGUUAGAUAAUCUGGUGGUGCAGUUUUCCCAACCAAUGACCAUACAUUCUCGAGUACAGUCUUCGCCCAUGUGCUUAUUGUGUAUAGAGCUAUCUGCAUCACAAGUUAACUAAUUCAUGAACACAUUUGUGCUUGAUAUCAAAAAAAAAAAAGUAUUACUAGUAUUGUUGUUGGCAUUUGCAUGAUAGGACUGGAAAACUUAAAACUGCAUGAAUUUAAUUUUUGCACAGAGCACUUGUACAUAAUUAUGUCUGUGGACGCAUGGAUGUAUGCAGGCAGGCAUAUGUUUAUAAAUUAGAUGCGAUUAAAUGUAAAUAAGUCAUCCUUGCAAAUAAACUUACCAGUAUUGCGCCAACAGGGUCCAUCCACCAAUAGAAUCUAACAGCAAGUAAAGCUGUUGCGAGACCAAUGGAGUUAGUGAUGACAUCAAAGAAAUGAUCUUGUGCAUAAGCUCUGACGAUAUCAUUUUGGAAGGUGCGGCAAUACAGCAUGAGGACGAACUUUACUAUUGUAACUGAAGCCAUAAUGCCAACCAUCCAUUUCUCUUUUUUAUGGUCAAAAGUAGGGUGAGCCUGCAAUGUGUUCAUUUUGGUGUUAGAAAGCAGCAUCUAGGUCGAUAAUUGUUCACACAGAUAAGCUUCUCUAAGAUUGUGCAGCUUUCAAGGUUUGUUAUAUAAAUGGGGAGUUAUAAUGAAAGAUAAGUAAAAUCAAAGAUCAAUUAGCUAUAAUCAGAUUAAAUUUAAAAAAAAUAUAUACAAUUUAUUUUACAAUAUGGAGCAUAUGUCACUUCGUGUCAUACAUUUAGAAGAACAAGGUAACUUUUCUGACCUUGAGAAAAGAUUUAAUGUACGAUUAAGGGUCAUCGUCAUUAAUAAUACCAUACAACAACAACACAAAUUUCAUUAGGCAUAUCAAAUCAAUUACUAUUAGGUUUACUUGAAGAACAUCUACCUGGGUAACGAGUUCUCGACCGGACUCUAACAUCACCUGGAAACCGAGGGUAGCCAUCACAGAAGCAAAAACUAUAAUUCCCUGCAUAGUAAAAAUAAUAAGAUUUAACUUGUUUACAGGAAGAUCACCGCAAAUAACCGAGCAAUUUACAAGUGUAAGUUAAAUCUUUUCUUUUUGUUUCUUUUUUCUUUCAAGAAAAGGGUAGUUGAAGCAACCCAUAUUUCAUUAAGCCAACAAAAGAGAUACAGAGGAAAAAAGAGCAAACAAAAAGCAAAACAAACUAAAGCAGUCAAAAGUUUUGUAAAGGUAUCUGUUCCGCAUCUUCUUAUGCUUCAAGAAUUUAUGCCACUGUGUUUCCUGAAACUCAAUAAGCAGUAGAUCUAAAUUUACCCUUAGCAUAAAAAUUAAUGUAACAGCUUAAAUAUGUUAAUUAUCUGAGCAAUUUGUAUAUGAAAACCCAAUCAAAAUUCAAUGAAGUGGCAUCAAGAUUUUUAUCAAAGAUAUUGAUUGUGAGUUGAAAUGUAUAUUAAUCUGUUCUCACCUACAGAGAUCUCCCCCACUUUCAUUCUUUAGUAAAAAGGUAUCAUCAAGUCAUCGCUUUCCAUGUUACCUACAGAAGUUUGCACUACUGAUAAUUUAAGGAUUUUUUUCCCAUAGUGUAACGUGCUCAAUUAUACGAUGAAGAAUUUGGAAGAUAUGACAUGCUAACCUAAACCUUAUUAAAUAAUUUCAAUUAGCACCGAUAAAUAUUUAUAGAAUUUACAGUUAGAACAUUUAAUUUAUAUUCUAGUUGGUCAAUAUCUACCACCACAGCAUCAUACUGGACCAAAUGUAGGCAGCCCUCCUGCUUCUCUUUAGGGGAAUGCCAUAUUUAGGUGAGGAAUAAGUGUAAAAAGAGCAUAAAGGAUGCAAUGCUUGUAUUGUUAGUGUGGCACAGGGGUUAUGCUGUAGUAAAUUGGGCUAUUGGGUGAUAAGAAGAGAAAAGGCCAUUUGGAGAACCCUGCUAUGUGCUCAGAAUACAAGUGCUAAUAAUGCCCCUCCACCUAACAAGCAGAUGUUCUGGCUUUGAGUCUUGUGAACAGAUGAGUCUCCCACCCUUUCUAUCUCUCAAUUUAAAAAAAGAAAAAAGGAAAGAUGAUCAACUAGCAGCACAUGCAGAAAAACUGAACGUCUGUUUUCAUUUUGACAUAAUGUAGGAUGACAUGAUGUUGGAAACAGGCUUACCACAGGUUGCAUUCGCUUCUUGCCAAUUGGAUAGCUAUACUGAUUAGGUUUCUUCAUUGCGUAUGACGUAAACCAGAGAAUAAACCCUGACAGAAGAUCCAGCAAAGAGUCUAAAGUUGAAGCAAUGACUGCCAAGGAUUUGCUCUCAAUAGAUGCGUAUACUUUUGCAGCAAAGAGGAAUAAAUUGGCAACAUUGGAAGUAUUAAUUGCCAUUCUUUCGCUCUUUUCUAGUUCUCUCAGCUCAUCCUGAAGAUAAAGUAAGAAUCAUCAGUAAGUUCUGUACACAAUGUAUGCAACCAAUGGAUGUCCAUACGAUGAUUUUUUAAAAGGUAACUUCAUUCUCAUAUUAUGCAUAAAAUGCCACCCUAUCCCUUUCUUCCAUAAUCUUAUACAUAUGCAGAAGUUUGGAUGUCACUGCUAAUGAAUGCCAAUUAGCAUCCAUACAUUUGGUAACCAAGCAUCUCAAAAUGAUAUUGGAUGAUAGAACUUUACAAUGUUAUUUAGAUCUUCUUUUUUUUUUUGAAGAACUUUUCUUGUGAGAAAAUUGAAGAACAUUUCUUGAUUUUCUUUUUCUUUAGAACAUUUCUUGAGUACCUUACAAAUAGAAGGAAAACAUAUAACUAAGAAGGGAAAUUAAGAUGAUAGACCUCUGUAGAAGCUCCUGCUUGACAACCUAAUUCAGUGAUGCCUUCCAUUUCAUUGAAUCCCUGUAGAAGCUUUUCUUGCUUCUUGUAGUAUUUCGCAAUUUUACUUUGCUUACCUGAAAAACCAGAAUAUAGAGAAAAAGACAUAACUUUGCAUAUACAAUAAGUAAUGUAAAUAAACUUCAAAAUUAUAACCAUAAAUAAUGACUAAUAGUUCAAAUGUGUCUUCGGAAUGUUUGUCAAUAAUCAUUGCCGGUAUUGAUCCUUGAUUGAGAGAUCAGAGCAUGCCAUAAUAAUUUUUAAAACUUAAGGUACAGAUACUUUACAGUUUUGACUUUAUUAAGGAUAGGUAGAAGAUUAGGUUGACAUGAUAUAAAUUUUACUAUGCAAACAAUAAAUAACAAAGUAGAACCUUCAUACGAUUUUAUGUAUUACUUGAGUAAAAUACAACGACCCUGAAGUGAUCAAGUUAAUGCAUAGGUGUUGCAAGGCUAAUAGAGAUAGAAAUCUAUAUCUGGGAUUUCAAAUCCUGUGCUGGAGUUAACUAACCUGAGAAAACCAUUUCUACUAUGGUUAUAACUUUUAUCCUAAAGUAUAACCAAUAAUACAUAGCCCCAAAAGAUAAUGAACAAUUCCCAUUCCAAUUCCUUGAGAAGUUCGAUGAAAUAAAAGUAUUGGAAAUCAAUAUAGAUAAGAAAUCACAUUGCACUGUAUUGGAAAAUAUGGAAUGUUUUAAAUGAUUUAAACACAACUUGAAGGAGAAAUUUGUAAGGUUGAAUGGCUAUAAGAAAUUGGAUGAGAAAAAUAUAAAAGUUGAAUGAUCGUCAAAUCAAACACAAACAGAACAUGGCCCUAAAUUAUAUAGCCCUACAUUUUUCUCAAAAGAACCAUAUAGUAGUUCAUGAAAUGUAAUGGAGGAUCUCAUACAGUCUGCUUUUCUUUUGUUAGAAAAAUAAAAAAGUCAGGCCUGCAGCAUUUGGUUCUAUCAGCCUAAAUUGGCCACCCAUUGCUUGGACCGAAUAUUUCCGCCUAGUUUAAGCAUGAAUCGCUUGAAUUCUUGAAUCUCUGUUCGAUUUAGUUUAAGUUUGGUAUUUUGAUUUUAAUCAGCAGAAUGCAUUGCUAAUUGUUUAUGCAAAUGGGCAUCUAGAAACAGUCAAGUCAGAUUGAACUGCAAGGCUAUCGAUCUGAUUGUAGAUUUCAUGAUACAUGACCAUCUUUAUCAGAAAUCUUUUGAUCGUGUCUCCACCACUUCCAGACACAGACUUGGCUGCCAACUUGUUCGCUAUUAAGCAAAGACACUCCAUUUUUUCUCUCUUUAAGAGUGGAAAGAGAACCUGUAAGACAAGAAACUGCUACGCUGUCCUGCAGAUUCCCCAACAGUUAAAAACCAAGGACUCUAUGGGCAUUAUUUUACAGGAAAAAAUUAAUUUUGACCUCAACACUUAAUGGAUAGACCUGGAUUGUAGCUUUCAGGAUAAGUUGUGAGGGCAGCAUAGUUUUGUUUUUCAACCAAAAGCCAAACAAAUUUUCCUUUGUUUCUUUUAUGGUGCUGCUGGCCUGUAUAUUGUGUUUGGCUUUUUAAUCAACGCUGUUAAACCUUGAGUAGGGUGUUACAGUAUCUACAGUGCCCGAUAUAAUUACAGAGACUCCAGUAGUAAAUAUCCAAAAACCAACAGUAGUUCAUUUCUCAGGUCUUCCAUUUACUAUAAGCGAAGAGGGCCCGCCCAAAGAAACUCCAGUAAAUUGUAAGUACGUCAAGCGAAAAUUCCCAUCUCAGAGCACGACCAUCAGUGAAGCCACUGCACCAUAGUAUAUGAGCCUAUUGUGUAUAUAUAUAGACCAGACACAGAAAAUCCAACAUUUACGUAUAUGUAUGUCUAUGUAUGUAUGUAUGACACACACACACAGUAUAUAUAUAUAUAUAUAUAUAUGUGUGUGUGUGUGUGUGUGUGUGUGUGUGUGUGUGUGUGUGUGUGUANNNNNNNNNNNNNNNNNNNNNNNNNNNNNNNNNNNNNNNNNNNNNNNNNNNNNNNNNNNNNNNNNNNNNNNNNNNNNNNNNNNNNNNNNNNNNNNNNNNNNNNNNNNNNNNNNNNNNNNNNNNNNNNNNNNNNNNNNNNNNNNNNNNNNNNNNNNNNNNNGGUGUGGGUGUCUUCGUGGGCAUAUAGGAAUGCGUGCGCAUACGAGGUUGUGUGUGGGUCUGGGUGCAGGCGUGCUCGCGCGUGUAAUUUUCUAGGUAUGCAUUUUUUGCAUAAACCGGGACACAAGAAUUGGAUUGUGAUGUAGAUAGGAAAAAAUUAAUACUAUAACUAAAUAUUUAUAUUUAUUUUUUUAUUUAAAAAUAUUAUUUGUUAAGAUUUUUUUAGUCUAUUUUUUCUAAUUAAGGAUAUAAAAAAAUAAUAUUCUGUUAAAUUAUUUAGAUACUUAUAUCUAAAUCUUCAUAAUGAAAAGUUCAACCUUUUACCAACCUUUAUAAAUGGUAUCUAUAAAAUUUCAUAAAUAUUCAAAUGUCCAAUACGUAUCGUAUGUAGCUAAGUAUCUGUCAUGGAUUUUUGGGGCCACACACAGGUGUCACACAAUAUAUAAGUGGGCUUCCUUUGCGCAUGCACUCUAUGAUAGAACGAUAAAACAAAUGCAUCUAGAAAAAAAGAAUUUUUUUUCAUAAAUUUCUAUUUUGUGAAAACAUACUUCCAGAUGCACACGUUUGCCUUCAAAAUCAUCCCAACGAAUCCGAUUAUGCCUCUAUAAACUAAUUGCAUGCAUCAUCAAACAGGACACAAGAAACGGAUUGUGAUACAUAUCUAAAUAUGUGAGUCGGCAAGAGAGAAAAAAUACGAUAGGAUAAAAUUAAUACUACAACUAAAUAUUUAUAUUUAUUUUUUAUUUAAAAAUAUUAUUUGUUAAGAUUUUUUUAAUCUAUUUUUUUCUCGUUCCAAUUACUAACCAAAGAUAUAAAAAAAUAAUAUUCUGUUAAGUUAUUUAGAUACUUGUAUCAUUGGCGCAUUCUCAUAAAGUAAGGUUCAACUUUCUGCCGAUUGAUAGCUAUAAAAUUUCAUAAAUAUUCAAACGUCCCAUGCGUAUCGUACUCCAGCUAACUAAUAUCUGUUAUGGAUUUUUAGGGCCACACACAAGUGUCUCGAUAACACAAUAUAUAAAUGGACUUCCUUUGUGCAGCCGUGCGUGCAUCAACGUGUGGUUUUGAAUGUGUGCGCAUGCAGUCUAUGAUAGAGCGAUAAAACAAAUGCAUCUAGAAAAAGAGAUUUUUUUAUAAAUUUCUAUUUUCUGAAAAAAUACUUCCUGAUGUACAAGUUUGCCUUCAAAAUCGUCCCAACGCAUGAAUCGGAUUAUGCCUCUAUAAACUAAUUGCGUGCAUCAUCAAACUAAUCUUUUACUAGCAAAAUAGUCUCUGUUUCCAUUCAAUCACCUCAUGUCCCCACCGCGUUAUAAGAUUAAUAGCACGAGACGAGUAGGAGAGCGUUGAAGGCGAGGACCGCGAGAGGAGACAUACCAUGGGUCCUACGGAACACUCGUGAGACAAAGGAAGGGUCUUUGGGCCCUUCCGGCAUCUGGAAGUCGCUCAUGUCAAGCCUCCAACUCUGUGACGCCGCCGCCGCCGCCGCCUCCCCUUUCAGCCUCAUCGGCGAAAGCAGCUCCGUCCUGUAGUCCGUCGACUCGCACCGGAGCUCCAUCGCCAUGCCCGACUCCCUUCUCCUCUCCUAGUUAGUACACACAACUCCUUGGAGAAGAAUAAGAAGACAGGAAGCGGAGUGGGUAUUGGUUAGGAGUUUGAUGACGGCACUGCGUGCUUCUUUUGGGAAGCACUUGAGUUUUUUUACUUUUUGCGGAUGGGUGCAGGCCGCGGCGGUGCUUGGCACGCCCUGCUUUAAUUGGUGGGGCGGCGAACUGAGCGUGAUAGAGUUGAUAAGAUCAAAGGCACGCCAAAAGAGUAAUCCGAGAAAGCUGAAACGUCGGUUACCGACUGGGAUCCCCACCCCCUGUUUGGGGUCGAACAGCUUUGGAUUCUGGGUUCGACCAUGUGUCAUCUUUUGAUAGGCUUUGCUGGUGGGUUCAGGUGUUGGAACUAUGGGUCCCACUUGAAGUGGGAAGUUUGCUCUUGGUAACCGUAGAGCGCCACUUCCGCUGAACCCUCCAACUAAUCUGGCCACGUUGCUCCAACCAUACGAAGUCCAACUAACGUGGCCGACCGCUCCAGGUUUUCUAAUUAAAUAUAAAAUAAACCUUUACGAAGAAAAUACAAAAUAAACUUAUAUUUUUAUUUGAAAAACACUACCACAUGGAAAUAAAAACAUAAGAAAUAAGUAUGAAAUCUUUAACUCAGAUUGGAUAGGAAGGAUUGAAAUAUUGAAAACUAGAGUUGCUGUUCCCGGAGAAAUCUAGUAUUUCCUAGACCGUUAGGAUUUAGAUAUUAGAAUAUUUUAGAGAGAUCUCAUUGAAUAUAGUAUUUAGUUGUAAAAAGGAAACUAAAAUCAAAUUUACAUAUCAUUAUUGUUAUAUUAAAAAUUUAUUAAAAUGGAUGAUGUUUCAUUCAUGAAUAAAUUUAAAAAAAGAUUUUUUUUUUUUAGAUGAAACAUCCUUACGUACCUAUGACUAGAUAAUUAUAAUGUUGGUCUCCUCUCUCUUUCUUUUCAAAAGAAAAGGAUAACAAAAAGUAUCUUGGCUCUCACGUGCUGCACCUGUUCACUCGGACGUACAGACUCGGGCUGAAACUUAGUUUCGUGAUUCUCUAGACAUCGCCCGUGGAAAAAAAAGUUAUUAUGGCCGUGAAAGGGUGGUAACUCACCCAAUGGGACAACUGAGUCGGUUUGAUGGAGGGUUCGGAUUGUACUCUCUUGUGCGAAAGAUACUACCUGUACUUUUUGAUAAAGGGAAUUCUGUCAUGCAAUCAAACAUCUGUACAAUGAAUUAGUUCAUGACCUCCGUGGCCUAUCAACUCGACGAGGGCUUAAGGAGACACGCAAAAGUUGAUUCCACUAACAUGACUCAUCUUGUGCAGGUGCUAUGCCUCAUGGAUGCCCACGUCUUAUACCGGACAAAUGUCCCUUCUUUGCGUGCGUCCCUUCCUUGAUCAGGUGAGAGGUACACAUGCCGACAUGCGGCUCUAUUGCAGUCUGAGAUGGGUCUUCCUUUUUAUUUUUCAAUAGGAGACACUUCUAAUACAUAUGUAUGAUGGAGAUCUAACAACCGGAUUGAGGAGCUAAGGAUAUUUGCAACAAUGCUAAUUGUAGCAUAAGUUACAAUCUUUCAUGCACUUUUCAAAAGACUCUUUGAUUGACAAAUUUUACUGAAAAAUUACAAAUUUUAAAAUAAACAAAAUUUAUAAAUAUGAUUGCAUGCUUUUUAUAGUAAAAUCCACUUUGUCAAAAUUGGUAAGUCAUCAAAUCUCAAAAAUAAGUUUUAUUGAAGGUGGUUUCUCCAUUAUGUUUUACAAAACACGUUUCACAGAAAUCAUGCCUUAUAAUCGUUUGUUUAAAAGAAAAACUCAUAAAUAAUCAAAUAGCCCUUCAAGAAUUAUUAGUUAUAAAAGUUUCUAGGAAGCAACUUCUCUCAAUUUUUACUUGAUUCUUGCUAUUACAUUUAACUUUAUAGUGUGGCAUAAAUUCCCCUUUCUGAUGGGCCAAAUAUGGCCGUGGAUAUCAUCUAUUAUGCCCCAUUUGUAAGAGUUUUUGGAGGGCCAAAAAGUACUUUCUGGCCCUCCAGAAGUACUUUUAGAUAAAAUAGAAGUGUUUGGUAAAAAUUUUGAAAAGUUGUUUUAGCUUUUAAAAAAAGCUAAAAUAGCUUUUUAGGAAAAGCUUCAUUUUGGAACUUCUCGAAAAAAAGCACUUUUAGAAAUUGUUGGAAAGCUAUUUUGAGUUAUAAAGCUUUUUAGACCAAAAUACUCAUAAUAAAAUAUAAUAAUUACACAAAAUGUCCCUUUAUAUCUUUAUUAUUGUAUUAUUCUAUAAAUAUUAUAUUAUAUUAUAUUAUAUCAUAAUACAUUAAUAUGUUAUAUUAAAUAAUUUAAUAUUAUGUUAUAUUAUACCACAGUUAUCGAGAGAAUGAAAAAUUAAUUUAUGCUAGUAAUUAUAAUAUUUUAUAUCUUUAUUAUUGUAUUAUGCUAUAAAUAUUAUAUUAUAUUAUAUUAAAUCAUAAUACAUUGAUAUAUUAUGUUAAAUAAUUUAUUAUGCUAUUGUAUACAAUAUUAUAUUACAUUACAUUAAUAUUAUACUAUGUUAUAUAUUUAUGUAUUAAUAUAUAUUAUAUUUUAUUAUGCUCUGUUGUAUAAUACUAUGUAAUGUCCUUUAUUGUCAUUUUGUCAUACCAAAAGUAAUUUUUCAGUUUGUUUAACAAAUACAUGUUAAAGUUUCACAGUACUUUAGAAAUGUAAUUACCAAACAGCAAAAACUUUUUAUAAAUGCUCUACUUCCAAAAGUUCUACUUCUAAAAGCUCUACCACCAACAGCUCUCCAAAACGGGGCCUUAGCAUCCGAGCUGGCUGGAAUAGCUCCUUCAUAUGGAGAGAGAUUUAUUUUUGGGCCCCUGCAGUUGUGGCGAAUAUCAGAUGGUCCAUUGGUAAUGGACAUGCGGUGAAUGUGAUUGCAAAUGCUUGGAUUUCAAAUUUAUCUCUUCUGUAGUAGCCCACCAUGGUUAAUGCUGAGAUGAGCCCGAAUAUGCGAAUAUGUGAAUUGUUUGUUCCUGGAUAGAGGAGAUGGGACACCAACCUUAUCACUCGUCUCUUUGGAGUAAGACUUGUGAAAAAGAUUAUCUAUCUACCAAUCCCUAGGUUCGAUACUGUGCUUGGAUUUGGAAGCUGGGGGUUCACCCGAGGGUGGUAUUGUUCAUUUGAAAAGUGGCAUGGGGUCGCCUUCCAUCCAGAGGAGUCUUGAGUGGUUGAGGGAUGAGAAUUCCCUCGAACUGUAAUGUUUGCCCAGUUAUGGAGUCCAUGGCUAACGUCUUGUUUCAGUGCCCAACGACACUUUAGGCACGGGGACUCAUCCAAACCCCUUUGGUCUUCCUUCAAUUUGGGGCACCAAUUGAGUCCACCCUUUCUAAGCUGAAGGGGUGCAGAAGCAGACCCUACACUAGAGGCUAGGGCAUCAGGAUUGUGUAUUUGGCAUACCACAUCUCGUUUGCCAAGAAUGGCUGAAUCUUUGAGAAUUGUAUUCAGCCACCGAGAGUCACAUUGGAGAGAGAUUUCAUUUAGACUAUUGAAGUCAUUCACUCACCCUCUGUUAGAGAGCCUAUGAUAGUUAGGAAAACUCGGGACUCCACUUUAGCUUGCACAGUGUUCGGGAUGCUUUUUAUCUCCUAGGAGCCUCUACCCCCAAGUUUUUUCAAGGUAAACUUCGAUAGUAAUGAUAGAGAAGGCCUUGACUUUAUUAUCAAAGGCUCGGACUCUCGCUUUAUUAUUGUUCGUGGGAGUCAGAUUCAUGAUGUCACUAUUCCUGGUGCUGAACUGAGGGCAGUUUGAGCGAGCACCAUCUAUGCGAGGCUUCACUUGCGGGCAGACUCCAUACACCUAAAAGAUGACUCAGCUACUUUAAUUGGUUGAGUCCUGGAGUAGGCUGAGAAUAGGGAUCGUUUGCCUCUAUUCUAGGAUAUGUUGCAGUAUGCUAGGGUGCACCUCCUUUCGAGCUACUCAUGUCUACCACGAGGCUAAUAGAGUGGCAGAUUGGAUUGCAUCUUUUGGCUGCGCAUUCUAGUGAGAUGUUGUGGACCAAUCGUGCGAGUAUGCCCAUUUCUCUUUAGGAUAUUUUGAUUUCUAAUUCUAUUGGAUGUAUUCAUAGGAGUUCUAUGUAAAUUGUUCGACUUACCAAAAAAUUAAAAAAACAAGCUAUCUCUUGAGCCAUCAGGUGUCCCCUCUACAAUUUAAGGGAGAGAUCAAAAAUUAGCCCCAUCAAUUUCAAGAGUCACACAUUGACAAGUAGAGCCAUAAAAAUGAUAGGAUAACUAAUUUCAUUCAUUAAGGCUAAUAGCAUGAUUAUGUGACUACAAUGGUUACAAAACAAUACAUGAAGCAUUUUCAUAUUCCUAGCUCUUGCACUUAAGCUCUUGAUUUUUUUUUAUAUAUAUAAAAACAUGGUUAGCAUUGUUAUUAUUUCCUCCCCACGGACAAAUAAUUUGCUAUAAAAGAUCCAUCUCAACCAUAGCUCUUCUUAUUUGUUGUCUCCCUUUUAAUAAAUUGUCAUGGCUGGAAUUGCUUGAACUUGAUGUUGCCAUUUCCAGGGUUGUAGAGGAGUUGUUAACUCCAAACUAAAGAUCAUUAGCUGGCCCAGAUGUCAUGUUUCUUUGAGGUAUGUGGUGACCGAACAACUGAAAGCGGGAUGGUAUUCACUUAUUCAGCUAUACGGCCAUCUGGUACAGGCCGUGGCCUGUGAAAGAAUGGCAUCCAUGGAACGAUUCAAUGAGCUUGCAUACUUUUCCUAAAUGAAAAUUAAGAAAAAAGAAAGGAAAAAGGAGUUGAAAAUUUGAUGAAGUGUAAUUGAUGUAUGUCCCUCGGUUUAACUGUCUUCUUUUGUUUAAUCCUAUCGAUUGAAAGUUUUAUAGGCAGUCCUUGACUUUGAUUCUCUUUGAUACGUAAUCUCUUAUCCUGUUCAUACAAGUGUACAAAGUAGGAACAACUAUGUACAGAAACUAGUAUGCCCAUGCACAGGACAGAUACAUAUAAGGAGUAAAUGUAAGGCUAAACAUAAAAUAGCAAUCAAAUAAAGGACGAGGUGCGAAGUUCCAGUAGAAAAUUGUCGCAACUGCGGAGACAUUGCUCCAACAGUGUCCUCUUCAUCGCCAUUAGAUAUACUUUUAAAUAACAUUCCGGAUCUAUCAAUGUUUUAAUUAUGAUAUAUUUAAACCGGAAAGACUCACUUGUAUGAUACACCCACAUGGUAUGAUAUCCAUGGAGCACAUAAGCUACAUCCAAUCUUGGCCACCAUGUCAUACAGCGAUGAUCAGCAGGCUAGCCACAUCGAGUCCAACAACAUACUGGGGAGGAUCCAAAACGCAAUGGAAAAACAUCUUUAAGACUCGUUUGGUUGACACAAAAAGAAGCAAGGAAAAUGUAAUCAACCGGAAACGAAGAAAAGGCCUCUUGUUUGAUUUGAGCUUUCAAAGCAGAUAAAUGAAAAAGUAUUUGUUUCGUUGGAGUUUUUAAAGAAGAGAGGUGGAAAAGUAACAUUUCUACAUAAAAAGAAAAUCAUGGAGGAUAUGGAAAAACUAUUUUUCUACCAAUUGAGAACUGAGAUGUUUUUUUAAUCCAAAACUGUCUUUAAGCCAUCAAAAUUUAUGAAUAAGACAUAAUAGAUAAUUUAUUAAUUUUUCUAGAAAAGUAGAUGUUUAACCAAACAUAAGCUACUCUAGAAUGCACACUUUUUCACGAUUAACCAAAUAUACUAAAAUCAUUUUCUCGGGUAUCAUAUUCUUAGGAAUCGGAUUCUUAGAAAGAAUAUUCUAAAAAGAAUUUUUUUUUUCUAGAAACCAAACAAGUCUUAGAAUGAACCAUGUUUAACAUGGCUACUGGGAUCUUUUGUUCAUUUGAGUUACAAAAAGGUUCAUGAAAGGAGGUAGAGCCAGGGUCUCUAGUCUACCUGCAACUGCAGUUGUCUCGACUCCCUCGAUACUUCGCCCACUUCUUACUGUGGGGACCACGGCAUGAGCUUCUCCGCUGAUUACUGUGCUCCAUGAAGGGCAAAAUUUGUGGGAGAGUGCUCUCCUUUGAUGCUUUUAGAGAUGCUGCUAGUGUUUAUACUUACAGAUUCGCUGUUUUUUGGGACCUGAUCAUGCUCAUUUCAUCUUUGAGGUCGUAAUAUUUUGUGAUUGAAUCUACGUUAUAUCAAACCCUCCUAUUUUUAUGCACAUUUUCUAGCUAGACAACCACAUGAAGCUCGAAACAGAGGCAACAGUGAACAACCAUUCAAGAAUUCCAAUCCUUGGCCUAAACGGAGAGGGGAAGAAGCCGAUGUGAUAUAGAAACUCUGAAAUUAAGAUUUGGCUUUCAUGAUUCUUUACUAGCUGUGCCAGUAUACCUCUCCAAAUGAACCCAUCAAGCCUAGGUUGCUUCACGCAGGAAGGUGUCCUCCAUCUAACCUCACCAAUUCAUUGGCUCAUAUCAUGUCUAGAAACAAGAGUGAAUGAAGGACUUUGGUCAAUCACUUGGCUACGAUUUUUUUUUUCGCCCACAAAAUGGACCACAAAAUUGAGGCUCUUGGACAUUAGGAUCCGAGGAGGAGCAUCGACGUGACCUAUAAGAAUUUUGAUCCGCUCGACUUCCAGCCAUUAUUAACUGAAGUCUUGGAUGGCCUAAUCCUUGGAUUGGAUGGAUGGAUGGCCAAGAAUAUUCGCUCCAUCACCACCGCAAAAUAUCGCUGGUCUAAAACGGAUUGCCCUGAGCAUUGUGACAAGAAGUUAUGUUCGAUGCCCUUCAUUGGCCAACAAAGAAGAUUCUUAUUGUAGGGAUUUUUAUACACCACAGCUUAAAUAGCCAAGCAUUUGGUGCGACAUUCACAUGUAGAUGUCGAAGGACCAAGCAAUCUGGAUCACGCAGCUAACUCCUUCCAACAGCCAAAAUCCUCUCUCUUCAUGGUAAAUACAAAGUAGCAGGAGAUAUUUACCAAAUUUAAGCUUACCUUUUGUCACACUUUGAGAAGCCAAGCUUCAAGUAACAUCUUGGCUCGAAAAAAGAAUAAAAGGCAAGUAAAGCGACAUCUUUUAUCAAACCAAAGGAGAAAAAAAAAAGCAACUUCAAUUUAAUUUCCUGAAAAAAGCAAACUCUCCAGUACCAGAACGAAAACAAUUACAAGGGUUUAUUAUAUACUAUGAUCAUCCAAACAAAUACUAUACAAUAGAAUCUAAUCUAGCAAGGAAUGGAAAUUUGUUCUUGAUCAUCCAUCAAGUGGUCCCAAUGAAGUCAAGAGAUCGCAAUUUGAUAUCUAUACGCAAAAAUGGUCUAGUUAAUAGGUACUGGAUCUAUUCUUCUUCUCUUUACAAAAAGGAAAAUAAAAGAAAAGAAAAGGUUAAAUACCCUAUUAGAUAUUAGAGAUGAGCUGGCAUUUUAAUAUUCUUCCAAUUUUAUAGCAUUUUUCGUUUUCAAUGAAUUCUAAGUGGGCUCCUUGCUUCUCCUAUUCCCACCAAACGGAGCUCUAAUUUUUUGUAACAUGAGCUCUAAUUCUUUCAAAACGGGCAUGGCAUCGGUUUUUUCAUCGGAGCGGUACCAUAAGUUCCGGUAGUUUAAAAAACCGUGUUGCAACUGUGAUAACCGUAGUCCAGCUGUAGGUUGUCUAUUCAAGUAGCCAAGGCGUAGGAGACAACAGGGCUCAGGGCCAUCACUCGUUCACGUGCAGGGGAUAAGAUGAGCCAGCCCUUGACACGUGGCACGUCAAUAGAGGCGCCCAAUUUGAUAAGAAUGUGAUCCAUUCCCACCCUUCAUGUGUGGUGGUCGAAGUGAAAUGUCACCCCUCUAGAUCCAACGGCCAAGAAAAUCCACGCCAUCCACCUCAUAUGGAGAUCGCCGUUGGAUGAAAAAUAUCAACGGCAGAAGGGAUCUCAGGUUAUAUAUAGGAACGGUGUUGGGGUGUCAAGGCCUCCAUCCUGGUGCAAGGUCUUUUUGUUAGGGUGGGAGGGAAGUUAGGAGAAAAGAGAUCAGGAAAUGGCUUCCUCCAUGAUGGUCUCUUCUGCCGCUACUGCGUCCCGGGCGAACCCAGCCCAAGCAAGCAUGGUUGCACCCUUCACCGGGCUCAAGUCGACUUCUGCCUUCCCAGCCACCAGGAGGGCAAGCAACGGCUUCUCAAAGCUUCCAAGCAACGGAGGCAAGGUUCAGUGCAUGAAGGUAUUGAAGAGAAGAGAAAAAAAGAUGAUGAAAUUAAGCAUAGGACAGAAUCAUUAGCUUAUGUUUCUUCUCUCGUUCUUCUGCAAUAACUAACCAUGCAUGCGUUUUACUUCAUAUAUAGGUCUGGCCGAUUGAGGGUGUGAAGAAGUUCGAGACCCUCUCUUACCUUCCGCCUCUCCCCAUCGAGGCUUUGCUCAAGCAAAUUGAGUACCUUCUCCGCAGUCGUUGGGUCCCUUGCUUGGAGUUCUGCAAAGUAAGUAUCCAAUUUGGCUGAAGGUACCUCUUGAGUCCUUGUUCCAGGUCAAGAAAGAACCAAUCUUCGUAAUGGUAACAGGAAAGAACAUAUUAGCCACCUUUGUCUUAGACCCAACCUGCUGGGGCCCUAAUUCUAUUGAUGGCAUGGCCUGUCUGGACCGAAUCCAGCAUGGAUUCUGCAUAAUUGAAACCUGGAUGGACCAAAAUAGAUGUGAAAUUGAGGCCCAGCCCAUGGGCCCAUCCUGACCAUUAAUGACCCACCCUGAUCCAUCAGGUAAAAGGACUUGAUUGGAGCCUAAAUGUUGGUCCAAAAGCAUAAAUCAAGCUUGAGACUGAUUUCGAAGCGGAGUCUUAAAGAUUGUGAGAUAAUUUUGAGAACACCACAUCAAAUGCCUCCGUUGUGAAUUCAAACAUCUGAGUGAAUGGAUCUGUGUAUGGCGUAGGUUGGCUUCGUGUACCGUGAGAACCACCGAUCCCCUGGAUACUACGACGGGCGCUACUGGACCAUGUGGAAAUUGCCCAUGUUCGGCUGCAACGACGCCACCCAGGUCGCGAAGGAGCUCGAGGAAUGCAAGAAGGAAUACCCGGACGCAUUCAUCCGGAUCAUUGGAUUCGACAACGUUCGUCAAGUUCAGUGCAUCAGCUUCAUCGCCUACAAGCCCCCAAGCUUCUAUACAUGAACUGACCGUGCCAGCUCUCUAGAGUGUCUGUCCCGUUCGACUCGGCUUUGCCUCUUUAAAUUGCUUUCCCUCAUUGUUCGUUUUCUUCUGUAUCCCCUCUCCAACGGAUGCGAAUUGGACUAAGGUCACUGUUAUUUUGGUUGGUGAGGAGCAUCACAGCUCCGGCUAUGUACAUCAUCGUUAUUGUCUACUACUUAUAAACCUAUAUAUGGAUGGGGUGUCUGUCUUCUCUCUCUACGACAUGAAAGAACCCGUUUAGCAUGUCAUUUUGCUCUAUGGGACAUCAUUUUGUGACUCUAAACAUCAGAGCUCAUAACCAAUUUUAUGGCAACUCGGUAGCUAUGAGGCUCCAUGCGGGUGUGUAUUUAGUUUUACAUCGGUUAUUUGAAUUGAAAAACUCAAAAAAUAUUUUCCGACUAGAUCUAUCUCCUGUUACUCUUAACAUCGUUGGAUAAGAAUGUCUCGUUAUCAAUAUGCUUUAAAUAUCAAAAGAUGAGUGUUAAAAGAGUCUCCCUGAAUCCAAAGGAGAGUAUAAAUUGCAACUAUGCACCUAACCAGGCGGCACUCAACUCAGCCAAAUAUUUAACCAACUUUAGCUCCGUGAUGAUUAAUUAUCUUCCCACCCAGAUCUCACUCCGUGAUAUCCUCCGAGACGCUGGUCCGAGCAUGUGAUGAGGCCUUUUGAGGGGGUCCGAGAAGUCAUCAAAAGAGGCUUUCUACCAGCAGAUGCCACCCACCUCCAGAAUCAUAUGCUUUCUUCCAGAACUCCAUCGAAAAAGUCCCGUGACCGGAGCCAAGUUGUCGCAUGCCGAAUAGGAACAACACCAAUGGCCGUCUCAUCUUCCCCGGCGAGGUUCCUGGCCGGCGGGCCGAGCUCCCGCCUGGCAGGUAACGGGACCACCUUGUAAACGAGCUCACGCCAGCCAUGGAACAUUAAAAAUUGUGAACCUGAAAGCACUGGUUGAUGCAACGAUGAUCCAUCAACCUUUGGUCACAUGGCACAUGUAUAAGCAAUCAAGUCAAAAGAUCUUAUUUUUGGUAGCCCAAGAUCGUUCAUGAUUAAUCCUUCAAAAAAAGACCGUUGAUGAUUCGAUCUCUACAAAAGUGCACAGUUAAUCCUUCAAUCUUCGCAGCUCGGUAGAACUAAAUAUGGAUCACAAGACGACCAUCUUAGUAGGAACUUGAUCCUACUUAUUGGUGACAAGUUUCAUCUUGAUUCUCUUUUAGUUUAUAAGGUUUUGAAGAAAAAAAAGAGGAAAAUUGUUACUGCAGUUAUCCAAGUCCAAAUUUAUUAUAAAUGCACCAUCCAAAAACCAAACCAGAAACUUGAUAAACGGAGGGGUAUGAUCACAAGAAGUCCCAAUUCACAUGAUUUUUAGAUGGUUUUUGACUGUUUUAGGAGUAGAUAUAGCACCUAUAAAAUUUCCAUUUGAUGCUACAUAAGCAGUCCAAAGAUUGAAUAUUGAAAAAAAUCAAGCAAAAGCUGGACCUGAAAUAGUUAUUGUGCUGUACUUAUGACUAAUGACCUUAUCGGUAAUGCCAUAUCAGGACCUAAUGUUGUGAUUUUAUAUUGUUUUGGGUACUCCAACUCGGUCCAUUAGUUAAAAAAACUGGUUAUUCUUAUUCUAAUCCCAACAAUUCAUAUAAUUUUAAUCUCUUUUAAAUCUAAAACUUAUGAAGCAUCAGAUGAAGCACGAAAUCUAGGACAGAGGAUUGAGUUUCUUUUUUACCAAAUCCAAAAGAUGAAGUUACUAAGAUAAAAAACAUGAGGUUUGAAAAAUAUCUUGCAAGGAGACAAUACCUACAUUUUCUUCAUUAAGGAGCAAGAAUUUCACAAUCUCACAUAUAGUGACCUUUUGGCGGCACAUGCAAGAAAUCUUUUCUCAUCUGAUAAAUAGUAAACAUUCAGGGAGAGGUCCUUGUAAAGGUAGAAGACAAGCAAUCAUGCUAGAUGUUUAAUUAUUAUUUUGCUUCAUAUUAUAAUGGCACUUAAAAUCUGAAGCUAGCCCGGAUUAUUUGAAAAGUAAGAUAGAAUUGCGUUGNNNNNNNNNNNNNNNNNNNNNNGUCAAAAUCAAGAUUUAACUUGGCUACAGGUUUGAGGCCAAGGUAUCUUUGGUUAUCAACUUGGACCGGACCUAUCAAAACAUGGAAUUUGGUUAAUAUACCUAAUUAUAAGAUUGGAAGUCAUUUUCGGCCACUUUUUUUGAAAACAUCUUUAAUAAAGUAGGUGGCAUAGACCUCCCUUUCCUUCCAAAAAAAAUAAAAUAAAAUUGGAAGUUCUGCCCAUUUCUUUUCCUUCCUCCAGUUGCACUCCAUAGUUUUUUAAAUAACAGUAUUUAUAAUGGUCAUAGAGACUUUUAUAAAAAUUUUGUCCACCUCUCAUUAUAUUAUUCGGUUAAAUAAUAUAAAAAAAUAAUGAUCAUUAUUUUUUAUUAUAACAAACCGCUAUAACACUCAUUAUUUUUUACUUGUAUUUUUCUGAAUAAAAAAUUAUUCAUUUUAUAUUUUAAAAUAUUUUCUUUUUUUCGAAGACAUUGUAUGGUUUAUAUAUAUACACACAUACAUACUUACAUACAUACAUACGCAUAUUAUUAUCUAAUUAAAAGUAAAAAAGAAAUAUAAUGCUCUAUUAUUGUUCAUUACUUCCUUAUGAUAAUAUUAUUAAAACAAUCAUUAUUUUGAUAGUAUUUUAAUAUUACAACAAUAAAAAAAGAAGAAGAGAUAUAUAAUGUUUGCUAUAACUUUUACAACAGCCAAUAACAAUUUCGUAGAGGGCUGCUAUAGGGUAAUGCCGCGUUACAUAAACUAUCACUGCGAUCUCUUUGAUACGUACCAUCACAAUGACCAAUCCCAAUUCCCAACUCAGCUUCAAACUUAGAAUCCAUCUACCAGUCUCACAUACGUUUGAAUAGAAUCGACAAGGACUACGGUUGGUACUUCUCUCAAUCGGUGGCAAAGCUAAAUAAGUAAUUCAUCCAUACUUUAUUCUGAUGGUUUGAAAUUCCAAAAAUAUUUUUCAACACGGGAUCUUGCUAAUUUGAUCCGUCGCUUUCGUGGACUCCACGCACAAAACGACUCUUCCUCCUUGGAUACAUUGAUUCAAUGCAUUCAUCAAGUCACUUCAUUCUCCCACAUGCAUUACUAUUGAUCAUUUUUUAAUCCAAAAAGAAAAGUCUUCUUGGACCGCCGGCCGGUGGAUUCCAGCAAAUCACUUGGAUUUUUCCAUGGGAUUCGCAAUAUACCGCUAGAUCCAAGCCUGAUAGGGACACGACCGCUUCUUUAUGUUUUAAUGGUCUAUCAUUAACCCUCAAAAUGUUAAUCUACUGGAAUCCGCGGCGGAAGGGAUGCGGGGACCAGAAUAUGGACUAUCUUACGUGACUUAUAUUAGGGAGGUAACUGAAGUUUUUCAGGCAAGGGCCACCGGCUUGCAUUAGAGAGGCACCAAGUUGGGAGAGUCAUGCGAAUCAUGCACAUGUAUUGUGACGCUAUAAAGUUAAAGCAGGAUGGUGAUUAUAGGCCUCCAUGCGACUGCCUAGCAUCUUUUGAUUGCUAACAUUUACGGUGCUAAGAUAUGCGGCCUGAAGAUAGAAAUUGCUCAUACAAACGAGUUAGAUAAUUAUAAUCUUAGAUGCAUAAUGGUGCAUCAGAAAAAAUUUUCUCUUAGGGCUCAUUUGGUUGGGGUACAUCAGAUUAUGAGGUAAUCUGAUGAUUCCUAAAAAUUAUUUAUCUGAAAAAGUGAUUGCGGCGGAAAAUAAAUUUUACCACAUCUGGUUGGUAGAAAAUUAAAUUAAUUUGGAAAAUAGCAUUAAAAAAAUAUUACUAUAUUUAAUUAGAGGUAAUCUUAUGAAGAAAUAUUGUUAAUUUUUUAACAAUACUCUUGAAUAAACAAUUUAAGUAAUAAUAUUUUUUUUUUCAAUCCAUUUGUUGGUUAUUUAUGGCCCACUUACAUAAAUAUGGUCAAUAUUAGCUAUUUCGAAUUAUGAAAUAUAUUUAUAUGAGUUAACAAUUUUUUAAAUUAAUAACUAAAGCACAACUACUGCUAAAAACUGUCUCAUUCAUUUCUAUAAGAAGAUAAUGGUAUAUAAAAAAUGGAUCAAUCUUUACCGUUUAAUACCAAAUUUAUAUAAAAAAAGCCAUCAACAAAUAAGAUUUGUCUAUAUCAACAAAAAAACACCUAAUUAGACUGCUACUAACUAGGACUUAUUCCCAUAACACAAAAUUGUAUAUCCCAAAAUCAAGAAAAAAACCACCCUCAACUUCAUAUAUUAUCCCACAUUGCUACAUUUGUUGGUUUUGGCAGGCUGGAAACUUUUGGAAUUUGUUAAUGAAUUCUCUCUAUAGGCAUUUGCUUACAAUGCAUUGGGGGUAAUUAGACUGCUAUUAACUAGGACUUAUUCCCAUAACACAAAAUAUUGCUUACAAAAUUGACCAUAGGCAGCCUUCGCACUUUGCAUAAACUCUUCUCCUGUCAUUUAAACAUCAAACCAUAUUCAUUAAUGACUGCCUUGAUCUGAUCUGUAUUGUUGACCUUCAUCCAAAAAUUUGACCAUAGUCAGCCUUUGCACUUUGCAUAAACUCUUCUCCUGUCAUUUAAACAUCAAACCAUAUUCAUUAAUGGCUGCCUUGAUCUGAUCUGUAUUGUUGACCUUCAUCCCAACCACAUAAUUGGUAUCACUCAUAUUAGUCUCUCUAAAAUCUGGGUAAAUCUGUCCACAAGUGCCAUCAUCAUCACUUAAAUAACAAAUACUAUAUAAGUUAUCUAAAUCCUCAUAGGAAGAGUCAUUCCCAUCAUAAACUACAUUGCUUUGAAGUCCAAAUAAGCAAGGCUUCUUGGCUUUCUCCCUUUGCUUCCCCUUAUCUCUCUCAAUUCUUGGGUCCACAUUUCCUUCAAAUUCCAAAUCAUUAUCUCUGAAGCCAUAGUCACUAUCAUCAAAAUCAGAGUAAGCAUCUUCAAUACCUAAGUCCUUUUGCACUCCAUCAUUAAUGCUUGAAUCUUUGUGCACUCCAUCGUCAAUGCCUGAAUCAUUUUACACUCCAUUAGUGCAUGACUCCUUCUGCACUCCAUCAUCUUUAGGCUCAUGGUCCUCAUCUCCACAACCCAUGUCUGACAUCAAUUGGAAUCUCAUACACAUUCUUCAUCGCAAUAUCUCUAGAUACGUGCUCCAUGUAUAUUUCAAUCUCCUUAUUUAUAGGGAUCUGCUUUACCAUUUCUAUCACAUAUUAAUCGCACCUCAGAGGUCUUAACCCAUCAUCCAAAGUCUUUGUUGGAUCCCUCCAGUAAUAACUCAUAAUCCAUAAAUCCACUGUAUCUUAAUUUCCCUAACAUGUCAUCAAUUUCAAACGUAGAUAUUGCGUCUACAUUACAAUAGUCACAUCAGUCAACUUUUCCAUUAACAUAUGAUUUAUUUGGCACUUAAAAAAAUGACCAUUAUGGUGUAAAACUACUAUAAAAUGGUCAGGAUCAUCUGCCAUACGUAAAACACAUAAAUAGUGUAAUCACAUAACAAAUGGUGAAAAAUGUUUAACAUAAAAAAUAGACCAAUUUUAAAAAGAUAUAAACAAUGUGUUCAACAAAGAAAAAACAGUGGAACAUUUUUUUGUUACAAAAAAGUUUGUUGGACUUUGGGUCUUGGCAUCCAUUUUGUUACCUCAUGAUUUAUGCUUACUAGGUCUCCAUUGUUGUCUAAUCACAACUAAAUAAGAUGGAAUGGGUAAGAUAAAAAUGCAAAUGGAUAUAUUCCUAGAGGUUAAUGUGGUGAGGUUAGGGGAAAGCCUUGUUCCUAUUUACCAAUAGCAUGAGCAGUAGCUACCCACCUUAUAUACACACCAAGAGAUGGACAAAGGAUAGGCAAGAGGAGCUUAGAAGCUUAUGUAUACACUUCCAAUUUUUCGGCGCUCAAUUUUUAAGUCAAUAUUGAUGUUUUAACUUGUGCAUUGCACAAACUAGUGUAGCAGAUUAGCAGAUAAUCAUUGUAGCAGAUAAGGUAAUUUCAUAAUUUCAUGAAGGACUUGAUGAAAGUGACUUUACUGGAUCUAGAACUCAGGUUAAUUAUGACACAUAGAGGAUAGAUAGAGAAUGGACAAGAGUAGCUUAGAAGUUGUUUUUUAUGCUAAAAGUGGCUUUACUUAUCUGUCAUUUCUUAAACUAAAUUGGCAACAAUUCUUGUGGCGAGUCCCCACACACAAACAUAUCCUCACAAACAAAUAUAUCCCUAUACACAAACAUAACAUAUAAAAUCAUAACCAGCUCAUUUUCAGAUAUACAGAUCAAAUAUAAAUAUCUUCAAUAGGGUAAACAUAGCAUGCACCGUAUAUAUCGGUCCUACUUGAAGGAAUCAUCUUCACAGAUAUAGUAACAAUAAAACAAAUAAAAAAAUCCACAUAUAAAUGCAUUCAUAGUAGAUAAAAUUGUGCAAUACAACCUUCUUUUGCAAGCCUCGAUGUAACAAUCCAGGACCUCACCCAAAAUGGCUAGCCGGAAGUUACUAUUUGGGUUCCUUGAUCCUGUAUAAAUACCCAAGAUUUACCCAGCGAAUAACCGAUGUGGGACUAAACACCCGCCCGCAUGGGUCCUCACAUACUCCCCCUGUUAAAGCCUGACGUCCUCGUCAGGCUAAGGGUUCAAAUCCAUUUAAGUCUAAUCACAAACACCACAAUCGGCUCAUAGUUAGCCCCAAUGGAUCCGUGCUGCAGUGUCCCCUAGUCCACAUAGGUUAUGGGCUAGAUCCGCUCUAAUACCAAAUGUCACGCCCCCGCCUACGCGGAGCACGUGAGACACCUAGUGCCCACGUGAGGGCCACAUAAGGGGGGAAUACGGGGCUCCCCUGUCAGAUAUUGUCCGGUUUCGGGGCUUCACGCAAGCGUCCUUCACCCAUUCCCGGUUUUGUUUUCUACCCAAAACGCGUCUGCAGGAUUAGAAGACACCCACCUCAUAUGCCCAUGCUCUAGAACGAAUCUCGACUCCUCACCAGGCAAUCUACAAUGUCCUUCCUUGCUCCUCAAUUAGUAAUGGAACAAUGAAUCUUGGGUUGAAGAGCUAUUUGAUUGGAGGACUUGGAUGAGGAAUCGACGGUUUGAUCUCUUUUCCAUUUGAUUUCUCUUUUUUACUAAUGAAUCCUAAAAUCCUCGGCCUUCUGCCAAACAACCUGCUUGAUGUGGCAAUUUUUUCCUCCCAAUUGUCUUUUUCUACCAUGUCUUAGCCCUACAUCAUAAAAAAACAUGCCACUUGUGCAGUUCUAUUUGAUUAGCAACAGAAUAGUGACAAUAGUGGCUCAAAUAAAUAAUAUUCGUAAUGUCAGGGAUGGAAUUGCGACUUUUGAAAGGUUGAGGUCUGAAAUAAUUUUCAGCCCUAACCUUAGGGACGAAUUUAGUAAUUAAGACCAUAUUUUUUUAUUAAGUUUGCAAUGGAUGUAUAAUAUCUUAUAGGAUUAAUUAGAUUUGAUUUUAAUAUCUCCAAUUUCAUUUGUAUAUGGUAAUGUACAAAUAAUUUGAAAGGUAAUUUGCUUUUUUUUAAAAAAAAUGAGAUUGCACAAUCAAAUAAAUUUUAUUAUUUUCAGCCCUUUCCAUCCAUUUAUAACCUACUUGGAAAUAUAUUCCUUAUCAGAUGAUAGGAUUAUGAAUUCAAAUAACCUACUAAAGCGCUCCAGAGUCUUUGCAAUAAUCAAUGGGCAACUGUUUAUAUGAAUAAAAUAUUCGAUCUCAAAAUAAAUGAAAAGGCUAUUGAAUCCAUUUGGCACGAAAAUUGAGUCUAAAUACUUUUUAUUGACAUGCGUGUUUUCCUUUUAUCUGGUUGAUAUGUUUGAGAGAGACUUAAAGAAGAAUUUAUUUAUCGAAAGGAGGGUAUAUUUCAGAGGUAGAACUAGUUAUGCUAUGUACCUAUGUCAAACAGAAUAACAACUUUUUUUUUUAAUCAAAAAUUUGCAAAAAAAAAAGUUGUAGAGAAACAUGCUUGCCAUGCACAUGAAAGAAGGUUAAUCGUUGGGAUAUCUUAGGAGGCUAGUAGACAACAAUGUUUUGUAUGAAGUGGAGCCCAUAAGAAAUUUUUCAUUAAAAUAUUAAGGAAAAGCCACGCUGCGAUUGGUUGUAAGUGGAGAGCUUUACAUUAUAGAGAUAUUACCAUCCUCCUCCCAAUUCGAAUUCUCUUUUGACAAUGGUAGUUGCACUCCCACUUCUAGAAUAUAGACUUUAUUAUAUUAUCUUUUAUUUGAGAGAAUCAUAAAAUUUGAAAAUUAGUAAAAGAAAGUAUUUAUAGUCCUCUAUGUCAUCAUAAAAGAAUGAAAUUAUUCUAGACAUAUAUAUAGAUUUUAUGCAGUAAGAAAGCUCCGAAUGGUCAAGAUUGAAAUAGUACAUUUUGAGAGGGAAAAAUGAUAAAGCAAUAAGAAUUCUCACAAAUAUUUAGAAAAAAAAUUUGGAUCAACACCUACUCAAAAAAAGUUGCUAUAAAAAAAAAUUUGUGAUAAGACAAUGUAUAAGGCAUGAUUUUCAAUUGCCUUAUAACCCUUGUUAACUUAUAUUUGCUUAUAGAAGAAAUCUAUCCAACUAAAAAGAGGUCAAGAAUUUAAUUUUUUUCUCAAAAUUUACGAACAUUUUGAUAUUAUAUCUGCUUUGGUGACAUUAUUUGAUUAAUUAUGUUAGGUGGCCCUUUGCAGCAUGAGUUGGGAUCACCUUCUUCUGUUUGAAGUUGAAAUAUUUGAUUUCUAUAUUUUUAGUCAUAAAUUUAUAUUGUUGGAUAGCUUGCCAAAUAGAUUGCUCAUGCUUAGCCAUCAAACCUCAUUUAUAAUUAAAUAUUUGAUUUUCUAGCCUAAAAUAGGGAGAACUCAAAUUUGACCGUUAACACCAUUUUUCUUUCCACCUGAAUAAAUGAUGUGGUAAACACAAUAUAUUUUUUCUUAUGUAAUUGAGCAGCAAAAUAUAGUAGUGAGAAAACUAAAACUCCACGUCAGUGAGUCUUAACAAUGGUCACCUCCGAAGUACGAGAUCUGGUCUUUGGAAGCAGAGCCAGGGCCGCAAGGCACGUGCCCGUUAUCUCGUUUGCGUGCUUCGAAACGGUCGUACGCCGGAAAAAAAAAAAAGAACGAGUGGACGGACGGACCGAUCUUUUAGUUUUGGAGGCAGCGAAAGAGUGCGAGCCUCUUCCUCUCCACGGGUAAUUUACCAGCCAUUAAAUAUCAUAUUUUCAUUAAUUUAAACAAAACCGAAUAAUCGCAGAGUGGGUGCCGACCGCGACGGCGCUUUCCACGAGAGACACCAGACACAUGAAAAAAUUAAACAAAUAAAGUAUAAUAAAGUAAUAGAAUUAUUUCUUUCUGUAGAUAUUAAUAUAUUAAUUAAAAGAUAAUUAGUAUUAUUACAGAGGUCUGACCUGGUGUCCUUGUCCGGUUAUUCAAUACUUCCACGCAUUUUCCUCUCACCGGGUUUCUUUCUCUUUUUUUAUUUAUUUUUAAUUCCUUCUAUAUUUUCUCUCUAUAUAACAAUUAUAUAUCUCUUCCCAACCCUUCUCAGCCCAUCCUCGCCGCCGCUCCACCUUCCUUUUCCCUAGUUUUCACCAUCUCUUCCCUCUCUUAGAAGAGAGAGGCAGCUAAGGUACGAUCCCUUUCCUUCUCUCCGUUGUUCCUCGUUUCCCGUCCACACUUAGGUCUCCCUUAUAUUUUUAACGUGUUUUUUUUGGGGGGGAUGGGAUCUUCUGUUCUUAUCGAUGCGAGCCUUUUGAUUUCGUUUCUCGUGCUGUAUGCUGUUAUUUGAAGUGAAGAUACGAAUUUUUGGAGUUUUCUCCAUUUUUUUCCCACCUUCGGAGCCUUCUCCACCGGAUCUAGGGAUUUCGAGCUGUUUUACCUUGAACCGGGUUGGAUUUUCGUCGAAGUUGAAUUUGGUUCUGUCCGAAAAUCAGCUGAAAAUUCGAUCUUUUUGAAUAUCUGAGAUUUCCUGCGUGUAAAAUCUUUAGAGUUUUAAGAUUCUUCGCCCUAUCUGAGCUCAACUCCUCCAGAUCCGCCAAAUCCCUGGUUUUUUCCAGUCGAUCUUGCGUUUUUUAUGAGGGAAAUAGCAAAUAUUGACCGGUUCUAUUGUUCCGCAGGCGUUCUAAGUGCGGAUCUCGAGGGGGUAAUCGAAGAUGAACCACUGCGCGAUGCAGCAGAACGCUUUCGCUGCCUGCGAGGAGAUGCGGGGGGGCUCCUCUUCCGUCGUCGUCGACCGGAGGACCCCUGUCUUCUGUCCCAAGCCCCGGCGCCUUGACCCCCUCUCCGCCGCCGCCGCCGCCGCCGACCCCGUCCGCCCCCGUCCGGUGGCACGCCAGGUAAUUACCUCUGCCCCGUUUCCCCAUCCUCUUAGAAACUUGUUAAUGUCUGUAUCCUUCUCUCUGAUUUCAUCUCCUUUUUUUCGCUUUCCCAACAGUCAUCAGGCCGAUCUCUCGGAUUUCAAAGCCGGCUCGGAGCUUCUCGAUUUAUUUCUAACGAAGGUGAAAUUUUUAAUCCCCCAGUUUUAAAUAUUAAAUUAAAUUUAUUUACUGAAAAAUAUCGGAGAAGCCAAUCUCUUAUAUUACAUUAUAUUAUAUAAUAUAUUAUUAAUCGUUCGAUAUUUUUAUUUUUUUAUGUAAAAAUAAAAAUACUCGAUCAAGAUCUGACGGAUGAGGUGUAGGAUACACCGAAGUGAAUCUGUUUGUCAGGCGUCAGAUCCACCGUUAUGCCUAUCGGAUGGCUCUGAUUGCUGGAUCUGUUUGGUCCUGCAGUGAUACGGGAACAAACGCAAAUAUUACCAUAGCGCGUUUCCUCCCAUCAUGAUUGAUUUCUUUAAUAUCUCUGGAUUAAUUCGUAUUAAAAGAUUUAGAUACAUGCGCAUAAUAAGAAAUUUGGAUCAUGGACUGAUCUCCACCGUCCAUUGUGAUCUUUUACAGGGUGGGGAACAGGUGGCCUCGUCACCCCCGUUCUUCUGCGGCUCCCCGCCAAGCCGGGCGGCAAACCCGGUGGUCCAAGAUGCCCGUUUCGGCGAGGACCGGCCGCCGGCGCCUAUCGCCACCCUCCCGGUCCAAUCCGGCUCGCCGAUGUCGCCGCGGAAAGGCUGUGUCCGUGCCAAAUUUGGCCUGAUGCCGGCCGCCGUGAGAGUCGAGGGUUUUGAUUGCCUCAAUCGCGAUCGCCGGAGCCACAGCAUCACAGCUGUGGCAUAAAAGCCUUGCACAUAUUUAUAACACAAACCCCAAGUGCUCUAUUUCCGUUGGAGCACUUGAGAGACAAAAAAGGGGAAAAGAUUGAGGAAUAUUAACAUCAACAAUCCACAACUACAUUUAGAUGCUAAUCCAAGAGGAGUUAAUCGAGAGUUUAGUUUUGAGAGGGAAUGUGGAAAAGUGGUUUCUUCUCCUACUGUACAUUUGUCCAGCUAUCUAUCUUUUUUCUUUUGUAAUUAAAGUUUUUAUGUGGAUACAGAAUAAGGAGGGAGGGAGGGGGAGGAGAGAGAGAGAGAGAGUGAGGCGGCAAGCCAAUCUUGUGUUUUAUUUUAGUCCCCACAUUGGAUUCUAGUCAUUAUGGCCUUGUUUUUCAUAUCUAAGUUUCGGGUUGGAAUCUGUAUAAAAGAAUGUUAGGAAGUGGAUCGGUCAUUUUGGGUCAUGGCAUGUGUAUGUAUAUAUUUUAAAUAUAAAAGUUUGGAUCUUAUCAUCCGUAAAGGGUCUUAUUUGCCCCUUUCCAUUACUCUCCUUUGCCCUUGACCAUGGCAUGUGGGUGUCGAUAAAGCGGAACGCUUCUAUCUGUGUGCUCGUUUGGCCUGUUGCAGCGAAGUGCUAUGGGAAUCUUACAUGGUUUGUGCAAAAGUUUUGAGAGAUCCCGGAAUUGUUCUACAAAGGCUGCUACAUACGUCCGAUAUGAUGUAAUCAAUAUACGAAGUUGGGGUCAAUUUGAGAGAAAAAAGAAGAAGAGAGUAGGUAAAGAAAUCAGGCAUCAAGUUGGCUCCCGGUUAGAUGGCUGAUGUUGUUGCAAGGGGAAUGCUUGAAAGGUUCCGUAAGGUAUCUGUUCUGUAAAUAAUAUCGUGCGAACGGCUAUAAAAAGGGGGUCUCAGAUGCGCUUGACUGUUGUGAUUUGACACUUGCCGACAAGGCUCUGCGACAGGUGGACAACAUUUGGCGAGCGUCAAACCUUGCCCCUUGGGUGCUUUGAAAGGGCAACCGGCGAGCGACAUUGCUUUUUUCUCUAAAAAUUUUUCCUGUUGGAAGAUACUUGGGAACUCAAUUAUAGGACAUCUUUGGGAGUUGAUCACUGUUAUCAAAAUUUUUUAACCAAUAUGCACAGACCGAGUCCGUAAGUAGAUGGUAUGUCAAUGGAAAAGGAUGAAUCAUGUUAGCUGUUUAUUUCUCGUUUCCUAUUACCAGUGCUUAUAUUUUUUUAGUUGGAAAAAAACGCUUUAAGACCCAAUCGUUGUAUGAACUAAAAAAGAGAAAUAUAAGUGAAAAAGCUUCUAUCCCGACAUGGCAAUUAAGAAUCGACGCUUUAGUUGAAGUUCUGAGGGCCAUCCUCUUUGUGAGAAUUUUUUGCACUGCUGCCGAGAAAAAAGAAAGAUGGAAAUCCAUUCCAAAUGUCAUACAAGAAUCGACGCUUCACUUGAAAUCCUAAUGGUGAUUUCAUGAUCUACGCCACCCCUCCGACAUGGAAUGAGAAUUUUUCUGUAUGGGCACCAUAGCUUUUUAUUUUGGAGAGGUCAUGUGGGCAGUCAGGCGUUGCACUUGCAAAAAUUCAAUGGUGAUUUUGGGAAUAAUGCCAACACCCUCUUAUCGCAUGGAAUGGGCACCUUUUUUCGUUGGCCCCACGGCUUUGCAUUUUGCGAAAGUGUUGUGCAGCUAAUGCAUAAUGUUUGGGAAAUAUCUUUAGAAAUGGUUGCCGGUAGGUUUGCCAUAUUUAAAUGAUGGCAUCAGGUAAAGAUUACUCUACAAUUCAGUGAAAUGUCAUAGUCAAUAUCUUGUUAAUUCUUAUGAUGACAAAUUAUUAAUCUUCUCGGAUUAAUUAUUCUAUCUCGGUUAGUCUUUUUAAUUUUGAGCAACACUCGUAAUAUAAUUUUCCUGCCUUGUUUCCUCGGAGUGAAUUUUCCAAACAAGGUUGUUGUUAUUUGGAGCCUCCUCACACGGCGAGCGUCUAUGAAGUCAGAAAGAAACUGCGAUUCCAAAUUAGUCAAUCUUAAGCUCUCUGUCAUGAUAAAUUAUACUCGAUACCGCGUUCAAAGACUAUGACAUGCACCAUGCCAAUGUGCUUAUCUUUUUUCUAGGGAGCCAAUCACUAAGACAAGAAGGAUUAUUGCGAAGAUUCUGUGCACUAGCAUGAUCAUGCAUUGAGCCGAUCACAUCUGUUGAUACCUAUGAUGGAACACCGAGAUUCAUACUUGAUGAAUGAGGCUCAUGGAAACCAACGGUCAUUAUUGGCUGCAUGCACAGCUAUGUGGUGCAUACAGUGUAGAUAAUAGUUUCUCGGAUACGCGCAUAUGAUGAAUAAUGCCUCUAAAAAGGAGAUGAAGCGGCUGGCAUGAUGUAUGACAACGUGAUGUAGGGUAUAAUGGUAUAAUUUUUCCAUAGUUGCAUGUCCCACAGCAAAAUGGUAGGUGAGAUAUCUGGAGGGAAUUGAGAUGGUGAAGGGAUGCUCAACGCAAAAUUGAACAGGUGGUUGCAUUGAAGUUUCUUGAGUUGACUCAGCUAGUCAAAAGCUUACAUAGUUUUGUCGCUUUCAUCUCUCCUUGUUUUUUUACAUAUUUAGCAUCCAUACUAUACUAUGAUAAGAGGAUGAUAUUACUGUUUUCCGAAAUUUCUAUUGAAGCAAGCGAUGGUACUCAAAGUCAAAAAUACUCACUCUCCUUUUCCUGAAAGAGGUUCAGUUCAUAGAUAGAGCUUAUAUUUUUUUUUUCUACCGAACGCCUUGGACGGUGCAUAAGAGUAUUUCCAUACUUGUGGUGAUUCAUCUCUCUCUCUCUCUCUCUCUCUCUCCGAGUAUGUGUGUGUGCGCGUUCAAUGGUUUCAGGUUGCACGCCAGCUGAAGCCUGCACCGUUUUCUGCAGCAUAUUAUGUCUGGUUUGUCCACAUCCAUGCCCGCCUAGUGGCGCCAUGUCUGCUCUGCAUCAUGACGCAUGCUCGCAUUGUGGACUUGUUCAGCCAUCUUUAUUUUCUUUGGAUGAUUAAUGACUUGUUCAGCUGUCGAAAUGCUGACAGGCCAAACUUUUCAAAAGGCUGAUUUCUCUGCAUCCCAACGAUGUAAUCCCGAUUAUAAAUCAGUCUGCGGCUGUAGCAUUCGGAGAAAGAAUCAACUAGAGCCUAGCCUCUCCCCUGCUGUUAGUUGUGACCGCUAGGACAUCAUCCAACACACGACAUAUGAUGUUUUUAUGAUAUCAUUUCUCCUCAUUAUAUUGGAUUGAUUUGGACAUUUCCAUUUCUUAUCUUCAAAACCAAGCUUUUGAUCAUUGAAGUCUCUUGCAGGAAGGUCCUUUCAUGCGAUGCGAACUAUGCUUACCGUUUCCAAUUCCACAAAACAAAAGGAUAAUUAUUAGUCUUCCAAGAAGCAUACAAAAAAAGGUGACUUUCGUUGAGAGGAUAUUUUGUGUUGGAUUAAUGGCGUCAAAAAUGUACUCGUAAGAAGAUAAGCAUCCAAUCAUUUUUCUAAAACAGUCUUACUACCCGCCAUCAAAGGAACAGGAAAAAUAAUUCCAUAUCUUUCAUGGGCAAAAUAAACCAUCAAUACGGUCGCAUCAGUCUCUUGCUUACCGUCCGCGAGUGCUAUCCAACCAAAGUGCUCGUUUUGUCGGGCGCAGACCCAACUUGCGGAAAAGUCUCGGAUUCGGAUGGGAUUCGCCGAAACCGGGCACCGGCGUGCCUCUCUUUGUGCGAGUCCCGAACCUAUCACUGUAGCUUUCAGCCUUGGGCGCCCCUCCGUGUUCCAACGAAGUUCCAACCCCACACGUCUCGUAUUUAUCUUUUUAUCACCAACUCCCAUCCUCGCAACGACCUGCUUGGCUUUCAACUUUAAGCGAGGCCGCCGCAUGGGAAGGAUGGGUUGAAACGGAAACGACACGACGCAUGUGGUCCAGCCUACAGGCCUCCUCGAUUCCCAUGGCGUAAAUGUCUCAAUCCAAUGCUAUUGUAUCCGGUGAUAAGUUCAAAGUUUACGGCGCAGUAGAAAAUUAGGGGAAUUGGCAUAAGAAGUUUUUGGUGGAUAGUUUUGAUUCCAUCGUUUGGUAAGAUGAUUGGUGAGAUGGAUGGUUAAUCAGGAACCUGGUCGAUUUUAGCUAAUAGUUUAGUUAUGUAAUUUUAGCAAAUUCAAUAUUUAUUUUUCCCUUUGCAAGUGUGAGGAAUCAUCCUCAUUUUUUGGUUAGGCAUUUCUCGGAAUUCACUGUCUAGAAGAGUUAGUUAAAUUUAUGUUACUUAUAGAUCGUAGGUAGUCACUUUGGAGUAUGCAUUAUUACUAGAGGAUUAUUGUCUGUGAAGUGUUUGAUCAUCAACUAUUAUAGCUUAGGAUCCAUUUUCUCAUAAUUAAUUGAUAUUUAUAUGUCACUACAAUAGAUGACGGAAAAGGCUUGAAGACUGACCAUACAUAAGCUGCUUGUGGAGCUUGAAACCAUAGUUUCUUUUAUAACUUGUUUGGAUUGAAAUAGAGAGAAGAGCAAACGAGGUGGGAAAGUCAGAAUCGUUGUUUUGGAUCUACAACAUGGAAGAGAAAUCAAUUUUCUCUGGUUUGGUUAAAAAUUUAUGAUGGAAAGAGAAUUAGAAAAAUUUAAAAUCUCUUAUCUAGGCAGUCUGCGAGGAAAGAAGAGAAGACCGUCAAAGAGAAGUGGUUUCCCUCCGAGCCCCUCGUUCCGGACACUUUUUGGAUACAUAAGGGAUAAUAAAAAAGACAAAAGCGAGAAAGGAAAGGAGUAGGGAUAAAAUCGAAGAAAGACAGAGAACUAAAGGCACGUUUGAUUCGUGGAAAAAGAUGGAAAAAAGGUAUGGUCAACAAAGAAAUAAAGAAAAGCUCUUUUGUUUGGUUAAAGUUUUCAAAAAAAAAAGUAACAUUCUUAUUUGAAUAAGACUUCAAUAUUUUAUCAAUAAAUAAAAUAUGAAAAAAACUACUUUUCCGCCAGUAGAAAAUUGAAGUCCUUUUUUUCCAAAACUACCCUGAGCCAUCAAAAUCCAUUAAAAAGACUUCUUCUUUAUUAAGAGUAUAUUAGGUAUUUCAUGUAAUUUUUUUAAAAGAGUAUAUACUUAACCAUACAUAAGCCACUCUAAAAUCUGCUAAUUUUUCAUAGUCAAUCUAACAUGCUAAAAUCAUUUUCUCACGUAUCAGACUCGUAGGAAUUAAUUUUUCAGAAAAAAAUAUUUCAAUGAGAAAAAAUUUUGCCCGUAACCAAACGAGUCCUAAAGAAAAAACAAAAAAAGAAAGAAAAAUCUUUAAAUCUCUCCAUUCUCGGAGAGAGAGAAACAAGGAAUUUAGAGAGAACUAUCUUCUCUUUUAUCUUUACUCCCUUUUGUCUUGAUUUGCUAUCCAAAGGAUGGAUUUUCAAUUUUUCUACUUUUUUCUUUUUAUAUUUUAACAAAAGUGAGAAAAUAGUUUUUUGGAUCCCAGCUAUAUGAUUAGCCACAUAAGCAGCCAUCCAAUCAGCUACAUUAUUAGCUUUUCUAUAGAUAUGUGAUACUUCAAAAGAGAAUAAUGUACACAUCAUUUGCUAGCAAUCCUAUAGGAGGAGAUGAGGUAUGGCUACAAAAGAUGGUAAAUUUGGGAGCCAUAUGAUAACAGCCGAAGAGUCUCCCUGUGAACAAGAGGCCCACAAUAUCUAAGUAGCAAAAGUCAAUCCCACCCAUAUGGUACGCAGUUUUAUUGGAGGAACUAUAAUAUUAAAGAUUUUAACACCACCAACAGCUAAUAGAGCACCACUAGCAUUCCUAAUAACAAAUGUUGCUUCAUCAAAAGCACCUCUCUCCUAAUACGUCACUUUCAUUUAGCUGAACUUUUUAAGUAGAGGCUCGCGAACAUAGCCUUGAAAAAUUUGCCUAGGAAAUGCUUUGAGGUGGGACCCGCUUGCUUCCAAGCUAUGGUCUCAACUGACUAGGUUACAGUUUGAUCCUGGCGCCCAAACCCUAAGGUACUUAGGUAGGACUGUUGAUGGCCUGGAAUUCACAAAAAUCCUAUAUUUCAAGGGAGCCAAUUUGAAGGUUACGGGUCAGAUUUUAAUAUCAUCGCCAUCUGAUCUUGAUGGUCGGCAAAGCCUAAGAUCAACCAUAUACGAGUUUGAUCAGUGUAAAUCACAGGAUUCCAUCAAACACAUAGGCAAGCCAAACGGGUUGUAGGCUCAAGGAACGUAUCUCGUGCACCAACCAUCAAAAUUUGCAAGAAAAUCCACUAUUUUUUUAAUUUCUAAUGAAUAAUACAUUUUAUCAAGAAAAACUUUGUUUUAUUAUUGGAACAUUACAAUCGUAACCCACAUGACAACUAUAAAAGCAUAUAUUUAUAUACAACGAUGCUUACUACAUGUCUGCAGUUACUGUGCAUAGCACAUGAUGAACAAAUAAAGUUCAAAGGUUUGUCCCACUUUGCAAUACGCAAAUCAACAAAUGUGACAUGUACUUGUAAAAAUAAAAAUAAAGUAGAUUUUUACUGCAAAAUUUCUUUUUCUUUUGGUUUACCGAAGGGUGGAGACCGUGCUAAAGAGAGUGGACAAACAAACAGUUCAUUAACAUUAGAAGAAGAUUCUUUUCUACGCACUUUUGAUGCUUGUCAUGUUGCCAUUCAAGAUGUAAUCAGAUGUAACAAAUUAUAUUUUAAAUGUAGCAGAAAUGUCUCGCAUAAUGUACAGAGACCAAUCAAUUCACCUUCUUCGUUACCCUCGCAGCUUUGUAUAAAAGACAUCCUCCCAGUAUCACUCAUUUCAGGUUCGGUGAGACUUUGGAUGGAGAAUUUAAUUUUCUUUAGAGAAAUCUAUUCAUCUUUGUUCCUCUUUAAUGUCAUUCAUAAAGGGAAGAAGCUACUUAAAAACAAAGUGCUUUGUCGUGCCCCAUUCAUAAGUAUGGGCUGCUAUUGAAGAGGAAAGGGAUGGGAAACAGGGGAGGGGGGAGGAGCCAACUCAAAAGAGCAACCAAAAGCAAACUUCUACCCUAUCUUUUUGUCAUCAGUCCUGUAGUGGAGCUUUUAGAAAAGGUUUAGCAAAGAAUCAGGACAUUGAGGGGGGAAAAGAAUAGGAAAUUGAACAAUGAUAUGAUAAUUUUUGUUCCUUUAACACCAGUUUUCUUUGAGGAAAACUAUUUUUACCUUUACCAUUUUCUCGAGACUAAGGUAGAGAUAAUCCCUUAUUUUGCUUGUUUACAAGUUAGUUUUUUAUCUAAACAAUUCUUAUUUUAGAUAAGAGCCAACACUUAAAAAUUUGAUGUACACUGUAUGAUAUAUCUAUAUAUCAACCUACAUUAUGAAUUGACUAAUGUUAGCUAAUCUACAUCUCCCAGAAUAUUUAGCCUACUGUGCAUCGUAUCAAGUGUUGUGUUGUUAAGAUUUGAAUUAUAACUUCAGACAAACUAAACAUAUGAUAUUAAAUAUUAAUAUAAACAAUCUGAGCAGAUAAGUACAUCAACUGGGUAUUUCAAGAGCUCCAGUAACAUACAAGAUCAACUCUAAACUGGCAUCAAAACACUGAAAGUUAGGUCUGGCAGUGCAUCACAUAGUAUAAUCUUUUAUUUUUGUAGGCCACAGGUGAGCCCUCCUUUUUUUCUCUUUUCUCUGGGGGUGGGGUGCAGGUAAGAGGAUGGGGGGACCUUUUAACAAACAUCUCACAUGCCAUGAGUACUGUAGCAUGCACUGCAUAGCCAAUACAGGUGAUAUUAAUACAAUUUCUUUGACAAGAUAAGUACUUAAAUAGGGAUUUGAGAUGCACGAUAACAAAUAAAAAGCAAUGUUAAACUAACAUCCAGGCAAUCCAGUAAGACUGAGAAAUGAGGGCUGGCAUUAAGAAUCGCCCUCUAAUUACAGGGUCCCCUAGGGCGACUCAGGCAACAAUUCACAUUCUCUUGCCCCCAAUUCAUAUUCUCUUCUUCAUCUUUUUUCUUUCUGUUUUUUUGAGCAAUUCUUCUUUUUCUUUUGUCAUCUGGUUUAAUGUUAGUUUAGCAUUUUUUGCCAUCCAUAUGCUGCUCAAGUUACUAGGCACAAGUACAUGGAGGUAAGGGUGUCACCAAGAGAGGCCCUCACAUUUCUUGAAGCAAGAGGACCAACUACUUGAUGUCUUGGUGUAAGAACCCCAACACAGUGGCACCCCACGCUUCUUCAAAUAUCAAUCUGAACCUUUUAACUGUGCCAGAAUAGAAAUCAAGUAGUAGAACAGUACUUGCAAUGGGACUUGAUAAUCGAGUAACAUGCAAGCAUGCAUGAGAAAAUUUAGCACAGCUUCAUUGGCUACAUUACCAAAACAUCAUAUGGAAACCCUAUGACAUAAACUUCCCAAUUUCAUGAUCGGAUUAAUUUGCUUUUCGGUGUCUGACUUAAUAUUGAUUCACACACACAUAUUGACAUACUAUUUGUUUUCAUGUCAUUUCAUUUGAUCUCCUGCUAUUUUUUGGCCACCAAUAACAAAAUGGCAUGGAAGGAAACAACAUAUAUAUAUAUAUAUAGAACAGAAAACAGAGUUUCUCUUCGGUCUUUACUCACCUUGCUAACCUAAUCUCUAGAUUUCAAGUAGAAGAACUUAGCGUAAAACAAGCAUUUCUCAUCUAAAUUACAUAAUAAUUAGGAAAACAAACUGAAUUGCACGAGAAAAAGGGAAAAGAAAGAUAGGUGAAAUACCGCUUGAAAUUUGGGUCGCGGAGCUGCCGGACCCUUAGGCAGGCGCAGGGGCGCAGCGCGGGGCGGUAGACUCACCGCGUGGGCUCGAGACCACGAGAGCUUCCGGCUCCGGCUCCGCGUUGAGAUCGAGGCACCGCGGGGUCGCGUGUUCCGUCACCCUCUCCGCCGACGCCUCCUCCGCCUCUAAGCGACCCUUUCCACCGUCAUCGUUGCCGGCGCCGGGCCCCGCAAAGUCCUCCCGCGCGAACGCCGGGCUCCACCGCCCGGCGCCCCGCUUGGAUCCAUCCGCCACCUCCCUAGGCCGGCCGGCCCCGCCGCCAUCCAUGUCGACGGCUAAGCACCGCGACGCGUCGCGCAUACGGCGGAGGAUCGCGAAAAAUUCCUCCACCUCCUCGUCCGUCACCGCCUGAUCGGCCUCAGCGCCCCGGGAUCUCGUCCGGCGGUCGUCACCGACACCGUCGUCCGCCCGCUUCCGCUUCCCGGACUCCAUCUCACGGACGCCUGACGACGUCUUCGUUGCGGUGCCGCUGGAAAGGGGUGGUCUGAACUAUGAAGUGGUUGGCGUCCCUUCGCGUCUUUCACACACACCCUUUCUUUGGAGGAGGUGAAAGGAGGGCAUUGAAAUUUUUCCCUAGUCCAAUGAUUCCAAUCUAUCGAAGGAAUAUAGAAACAUAAAAAAAGAGAAAGGAAGCACCUCAUGCACCCCAAGUGGGUUGGUGAUGGGAUAAAUGGCUGACGUAAGAAGAGCAAAAUGUCAUAACAUGGCGAUUUUAUUAAAAUAAAAAAAAUCCAUGCUUCGAAUCUAAUAUGACGUUGCAAAAUGGGCCAGAUACGACUGGAUCAUACGUAAUGCCAACCAGAUCCAAUUUCAUGCCAUUAUUUUAGAUCCGGAUGUAACCUAUUAUUUAAUUGAGUUUCUAGAAAAAAUUCUAGACCGGACAAUCAUUCAAUUCGACAUAUGACUUGAAUCCAACCAAAUAUAUUUUACUCGGGCUGGACCAGACUGAGUAAGAUUUUCUGUUCAAGUUAAACAUUGAGCUGUUCGAUCGUAGCUAAACUAUAAUAAUUGAUAAUUAAUAUAACAUUAUUUAAAAGUAAAAAAAAAGCCAAGCGAAACUCCAAGUCUUGUUAAAAACAAUUUUAAUUUCAUUCAAAUAUUUUAUUAUUCUUAAUUUAACAGACUAAAUUUUUUAAUAAUAUAUAUAUAUAUAUAUAUAGCAAACCAUGAAAGCAUUUCAAAUAAGAAUUUACCAAAAUAAAUAAAAAAAUAUGAAUGUUUAAUGUUGUAUUUAUUAAUGAUUAAAUGUUUUAUUUUAUCACAAUCCUUUGGUGGUAUGAUUGGUUUGUGUGCGGGGUUUGUUCUCGCAAGGUUGUGAGUUCGAGUCCUUCUUCCCGGACUGUGCAAGCCUUGCACGAACGUAAAAGCAAGUGCUUUUACGACCGUGCAAAAGGGGGGUGUGUUCUUGAGGGAUGCGAACUCGCGUCCACGCGAAGAAUUGCGCCCCACAGGCAUAAGUUCCAUAGAGGUCUAUAAAUAGACGACCUCUACAGAUUAGAAUUUUAAUUUUUAGACAAAAAACAAAGGAUUCCUAAUUUCUUUUCUUUCUCUACUCUCUCUUCCUCCAGUUAAAAUAUUUCUUUCCAAAUUGUUUAAAGGGCUUGCUGCAUAUUGAUUCUGGGUUCGAAGCCUUCUUUGAUCCGUGCAAAUCAUCGAGGCAGAAGGAACGAGAGGCUGUUGUAUCUCAGGAGUAGAACGUCAUCCAAGCCUAGUGCACUAUAAGGCGGCGAAAUCUACUUCAAGAAAAGUGACCAACAUACCACGCCUCAGCAUCUCGAGUUUCAUUUUUCUACUUUUUUUUUAAGCCUAUUACUGUCUAUUAUUUAUUGAAGUAGAAUAGUUUAGUUUUAUUUCUUCUUCAAAUUUAUUAUCAACAAUCUUGAAGUAGAUUUUUCCUACGUAUAAUAGGCUAGUAAUUAGAGUUAUCCUAAGGGCCAAUGCAAGUGACCCGGUUCCUCCGAAAAGUUUAAUGGAACUAAUUUUAAGCGUUGGAGAAGGAAAAUGGAAAUCUUCUUAACCACGCUUGGAUUAUUUUUCAUAAUUUUUGACUCUCCUUCAAAUGAGGAUGAGAAUGAACCGGCUAGGACUUGUAAUUUAGAGGAAUUUAAGAAGAAAGACUACCUGUGUAGGGGUAGAAUUUUGUCCUAUCUUUCUGAUCUCCGUUUUGAUGUCUAUUGCACUCUGAAAACCUCUAAAGAGAUUUGGGAUGAUCUUAAUAAAAAAUAUGGUAUCCAAGAUGCCGGAAUGGACAAGUAUACUGUUAGUCAAUUCCUGUCUUAUAAGAUGGUAGACACCAAGCCCAUAGUUGACCAAGCUCAUGAGCUAACAAUGAUUUAUCAUGAAUUAGGCUUAAGGGGAAUGGGUAUAACUGAGAGCCUUCAAGUUGCUUGUACCAUUGACAAGCUUCCACCUUCUUGGAAAGAUUUUGGGUUGUCCCUAAAACAUAAGACCGAGGAAAUGAGCAUGAAAACUCUACUAUCUGCCAUUAGGAUCCAAGAGCAACAUCUUGAGAAAGACAAUGAGAAAAUCAUGAACCCUGAGUUUCUAACUAAGGUGAACUUUGUAGAAGGCCAGAAUAAAACCUAUAGGUUCAAAAACUCCAAAUUUGAAAAGGGUGGACCUAAGAACAAAGGAAAAUCCAUAAAGCCAAAAUACCAUAUCAAUAAAAAUGAUCGGAGGCCGAUUUGCUACAAUUGUGAAAAAUCCAGUCAUAUAGCACGAGUAUGCCGGAUGAAGAAGAAGAAGUAUCAAAACUAUGAACAUGCACCUCCUCAACCUGCCAAUCCACAAACCAACAUGGUGUUAUCCAGUACUGGUCCUACUAAUACUGAUGAUCGAUAUGUAACUUUAAGUCCAGAGUUAAAUUUGGCAAUUCAUUCUACCGAUUGGUUAGUGGAUACAGGUGCAAAUAUUCAUAUCUGUACUGAUCGUAUCCUUUUUACUAUUUAUCAGGUCUGGAGCGGCCUAACAGUGACUAUGGGGAGUUCUACCUCGGCACGAGUACUUGAAACUGGGAAAGUACUUCUAAGACUUANNNNNNNNNNNNNNNNNNNNUGGAUACAGGUGCAAAUAUUCAUAUCUGUACUGAUCGUAUCCUUUUUACUAUUUAUCAGGUCUGGAGCGGCCUAACAGUGACUAUGGGGAGUUCUACCUCGGCACGAGUACUUGAAACUGGAAAAGUACUUCUAAGACUUACAUCUGGGAAUGUGCUUUCUCUAUUUAAUGUGUACCAUGUGCCUGAAGGAUGGAGGAAUCUGAUCAGUGGAUCUCUUCUGAUAAGGAGUGGCUAUUCUUUGUUAUUUCAAUCUAAGAAAGUGAUUAUAACAAAGAAUGGAACAUUUGUAGGCAAAGGCUAUAAGUGUGAUAGCUUAUAUGUAAUUAAUAAAAUGAAUGAUGUACCUUUGGAUAUUCUUCUUAUAGCAAUAAUAAAGUUAUUCUUUCAAUAUGUUCUUUAUUUUUUUGGCAUGCUAGAUUAGGACAUCUGAAUAAUAAUACUAUUAAAAGAAUGAUUAGUUCUGGUUUAUUGCCUAAUGUUUCAUUAGAUGAAAAAGAAAAGUAUCUAAUUUGUGUUCAGUCUAAGCAACCUAGAAAACCAUUUAAAAUGGAAAUAGAAAUUCCACCUUAUUAGAAUUAAUUCGUUCAGAUGUAUGUGAACUAAAUGGAACUUUGACUAAGGGGGGAAGAAGGUAUUUCAUAACCUUCAUAGAUGAUUAUUCUAAGUAUUGUCAAGUUUAUUUGAUGAAAACUAAAGAUGAAGUAAUUGAUAUAUUUAAGUUUUAUAAAUCUUUAGUAGAAAAUCAACUUGACAAGAGAAUAAAGAUUUUUAGGUCAGAUAGAGGAGGAGAAUACACCUCUAAUGACUUGAAUGAAUUCUGUAGAGUUAAUGGAAUUCUACAUGAAGUAACACCUCCCUAUUCACCUCAGUCUAAUGGAGUGGCUGAAAGGAAAAAUAGACUUUGCAAGAUAUGGUAAGAUCUUUGCUUCCCAACUCAGGUUUACCUGAGGUUUGGUAGAGGGAAGCAGUGCUUACAGCAUGUUUCCUGCUUAAUAGGGUUCCAUUUAAAAGUUUUAAUGAAUCUCCUUAUGAACUUUGGAAAGGAAGAAAACCUAACCUAAACUUUCUAAAAGUUUGGGGUUGUUUGGCUAAGGUUAAUAUUCCUUUAAUUAAGAAAAGAAAAUUAGGACCUAAUACUUUUGAUGCUAUAUUUCUUGGUUAUCUCUUAAUAGUGUUACUUAUAGAUUCUUAGUCAUUAGUUCUGACAUUAAUCACAUAGAUAAGAACACGAUAAUUGAAUCUAAAGAUGCUUCUUUCUUUGAAGACAUUUUCUUUUAAGGAUAAAAUAGAAAAGCAUAUAAUAGAUAGAUCUAAUAAUGAAUCUUGUAAUUCACCUUCUAAUGAAAAUGAAAAUGAACUUAUUGAUGUUAAUGAACUUGGUAGAAGCAAAAGAAUUUGAAAAAAGAAAGAUUUUGGAUCUGAUUUCUAUACCUUUAUGGUUGAAGAUGAUCCUAAAACAUAUAAAGAUGCUAUGAACUCAUUAGAUUCUAUAUUUUGGAAGGAAGCUAUUAAUAGUGAAAUAAAUUCACUUAUGACUAAUGAAACAUGGUUUCUAACUGAUUUACCAUCUGGUAGUAAGGCUAUAGGUUGUAAAUGGAUCUUUAAGAAGAAAUUAAGACCUGAUGGUUCAAUUGAAAAAUAUAAAGCAAGAUUAGUUGCUAAGGGCUUUACUCAAAAAGAAGGUAUUGACUACUUUGAUAGGUAUUCUCCUGUGACUAGGAUAACCACUAUCCGUACUUUAAUUGCACUCGCUUCAAUCCAUAAUUUGAUAAUCCAUCAUAUGGAUGUCAAGACUGUCUUCCUCAAUGGUAGUUUAGAGGAAGAGAUUUAUAUGGAUCGGCCAGAGGGAUAUGUGGCUCAGGGAUAGGAAAGAAAAGUUUGUAGGUUAGUCAAAUCCCUUUAUGAUUUAAAACAAGCUCCUAAGCAAUGGCGUAGAACAUUUGAUAAAAUAAUUGUUUCUUAUGGCUUUAAAGUAAAUAAAUCCGAUAAAUGCUUAUAUUCUAAGUUAGAAAAUGAUUCAUGUGUUAUCUUGUAUUUAUAUGUUGAUGAUAUCUUAAUAUUUGGUACUGAUAUGAAUAUUGUAACUGAUAUCAAGAAUUUUUUAUCUAAUAAUUUUGAUAUGAAAGAUUUAGGUCAGACAGAGGUAAUGCUUGGUAAUAGGAUUACCAGAAUACCUAAUGGCAUAAUCUUUGAUCAAUCACAAUAUAUUGAGAAAAUUUUGAAAAAAUUUGAUAAGUACAACUGUAAACCAGUGAGUACACCUUAUGAGCAUGGUUUGUACUUGAAGUGCAACAAAGGUGAUCCAGUGGCCAAAGAAAAAUAUGCUCAGAUUAUUGGGACACUGAUGUAUAUUGCAAAUACAAAUAGACCUAACAUUUCCUAUGCUAUAGGAAAGCUCAGUAGGUUUAAUAGUUGUCCUAGUCUUAGUCACUGGGAAGCACUGGACAGAGUACUUAGAUACUUGAGAGGUACCAUGUCUUAUGGUUUACAUUACUCAAGAUUUUCCGAUGUACUUGAAGGAUACAGUAAUGCUAGUUGGAUCACUGAUUCAGUGAACCGAAAAGAACUAGUGGAUACAUAUUCAUGUUGGGUGGUGCAGCUGUUGCUUGGAGAUCAUCCAAACAAACUGUGAUCACCAGAUCCACUAUGAAGGCUGAGAUUAUUGCCUUAGAUUCUGAAUCUCAAAAAAUAGAAUGGUUUAAGAAUCUUAUGUCAGAAAUUCCUAUUAUGAAAAGCCUAUGCCUGCUAUCUCUUUGUUAUGUGACAAUGAAGCUGCAAUUAAUACUUGUAGAAAUAUUGAAUAUAACAAGAGAAACAGAAGACACAUUAGUGUGAGACAUAAGACAAUUAGAUACCUAAUUAAAAAUGGUAUCGUGACUUUGGAAUUUGUUAGAUCUGAAGAUAACCUAGCAGAUCCUUUGACUAAAGGACUAGCUAGAAGCAAAGUUAUAGAAACAUCAAGGGGGAUGGGACUGAAACCCAUAAGGAAUUAUUGACAAUGGCAACCCAACCUAUUCUAACUGGAGAUCCCAAGAUGAAAGGUUCAACGGAAAAAAAAACAAGUUGUUUAAUGAUUAGUUAGCACUAUUAUUAAAAUGACUUUAUGUCAUUUGGUCUCUCCCUAUGAUGUGAGUGCUAAACACAUCAGAGGUAUACGGAAGAGUUUAAAACUCUGAAUGAGUCCGAGUCUAUGACAAGGUGCUGUGCUGCGAGCACCCUUGGAGGAUUCACCUAUGUGAGUGUAACUAUAUGGCCGCAGUCUAUGAGGAUAAGGGUUUAACCCCUAGAGCGCUCAUGAAAUUGAGAUAUUGAUGCAUGAGGCCGAAAAGCACCACCUAUGAUGAACCUAGUAUUUGCAUUUGUCAUGGGUGAAGUAUAUGAAAAUCUGAACCAAAGGAUUUGGUUCAAAGCUUUUUGACUACCACUAUUCCUUUCAGAUGAAAGUAUACUUUCACUAGGUAAAGGUUCAAAGCCGCCAGCUACCUUUAUUGAAGUUGCAACAUGAAAAGCCCGGUAUGACUAUUUUUAUAAAAUUUUGAAAAUAUUUUAAUCAGGUGGAGGAUUGUUGUAUUUAUUAAUGAUUAAAUGUUUUAUUUUAUCACAAUCCUUUGGUGGUACGAUUAGUUUGUGUGUGGUUUGUUCUCACAAGGUUGUGAGUUCGAGUCCUUCUUCCCGGACAGUGCAAGCCUUGCACGAACGUAAAAGCAAGUGCUUUUACGACCGUGCAAAAGGGGGGCGUGUUCUUAAGGGACGCGAACUCGCGUCCACGCGAAGGAUCGCGACCGCGAGAACGCGUCCACGCAAAGAGUCGCGCCCCAUAGGCAUAAGUUCCAUCGAGGUAUAUAAAUAGACGACCUCUAUUAAAUUUUAAUUUUUAGACAAAAAACAAAGGAUUCCUAAUUCCUUUUCUUUCUCUACUCUCUUCCUACCAGUUAAAAUAUUUCUUUCAAAAUUGUUUAACGAGCUUGCUGCAUAUUGAUUCUGGGUUCAAAGCCUUCCUUGAUCUGUGCAAAUCAUCGAGGCAGAAGAAACGAGAGGCUGUUGUAUCUCAGGAGUAGAACGCCUUCCAAGCCUAGUGCACUGUAAGGCGGCGAAAUCUACUUCAAGGAAAGUGACCAACAUACCACGCCUCAGCAACUCGGAUUCCAUUUUUCUACUUUUAUUUUUUUUAAUUUUGUUUUAGCCUAUUACUUUCUAUUAUUUAUUGAAGUAGAAUAGUUUAGUUUUAUUUUUGCUUCAAAUUUAUUAUCAACAUUUAAAUAUAUAAUUAAAUAAAAAUAUAUGAGAGAUGUUAGUUGUCGUGAUGAAAAAUAAGAAUUAAUUUAAAUGAGAGUUUAAGUCAACAAAUUAGAAAAGAUAUUGAGAAUAGAGAAGAAGAAAGUUUAUAUGAUUGAAGUUCUUAGAUUGGUUCAUGUCAAGUUUGCAUCAGGUCAGACCUCUUUUUUGACCCAAUUAGACCUAUAUAGUAUAUAAAUCGGAUUAGAUUAGGUCAGAUUAAAAAAUAUAAGAUUUAGAGACGAUUCAAAAUUUAGGUUGGGUUCAAUUUUUGAAUCAAACCCAACUAACAUGUUUUUUGAAUGCUGAUCAGAUCAAGUUUUAUCAAAUUGGGAUUAUUGUUAAAAUCCUUGCGUAAUUGGUGGUUGGCUAUCGUUGAAAUUGUGGCAUACCUUGAAUGUUAGAAUUAGAUGUUGGUGAUGGGGGAAAUCUUGACAUCUUAACCCCGGCUUAAAUCGACCCUCUUGACUUCGGUCUAAAUCGAGGUGCCACUUUGCUUGAGGAAAUAAAAAUUAGAAGUUACGACAACAUUACCGUUAAUGCAUGAUCGAUGUGAUUGCCGUCGUGCGCUAUUCGCGCGGGAUGGCUGCUACAUUGUUAACGGGUAGCCGACCAUUACCAUAUAGUUAAGGCACAUUGUGUCUAAUCAGGUAAUGGAUUCGUAUUCUACUCUAUACAAAGGGCUAGCCCGGAGGAUCCCAAAGUAAGCUCAUUUUCGAGAUUCCACUCUACAAAUUUUCACCCUUCGACAUUGUUGCUCUAGUAUUCUGAGUUAAGCAUCAGAGAGUCCCCUACCAGAAACUUUUUGGCAGACAGACUGCUUACAGAUUGGAUUCUUGGCGACGAGUUUUUACUCACCUUAGUCUCGCCUGAUUUCACCUCUUUUCAAUUCUCACCGAUCUCAAAGCAUGUUAAAAAGCUUUCCGACCUCGGCUCAGAAUUUAGUGAUAAUAGAUUAGCGCUAGAGGAAGGGUAUUUACACCAACAUCUGAAGGAGGGAAAAAUCAUUAUCAUGAGGUCACGAAGGAGCCACAAAACUAUGCUCCAAUUGAGCCGAUGAGCUCAAACCAGCUUGAGUCGAGGUAGCUGCCUCAGAUGAGGAUGAACAAGGGGUCGAAGCAGCGGCUGAUGACUAACCAAGGAUUAUCCCCUCCGGACGAGUUGACCUGACAGGUGAUAGAAUUUCGACCUUAAGAUCAGGCUUCGCUCCUUCUGCCUAAGGUUCCAACACAUCAGGUGUAGAAGCCUUGAUUUUUGCAUUAAGAGGCACUGAGCUGGAUCCUCCCUUCAUCCUCUUCUUCUAAGGAGCUAUAACCCCAAACACUGCUGCAGCUCUCUUGUGCAUGACUUCUCGGAUCAACGCCAAGACUGUCUUUAUGGCUACAAUAGCUAAAUGAUCAAAGUGGAUGUUAGAAAAUUUAACCUUGUGGCGAGGUAAAAAAAUAAAAAUUUUAAAGAAUUUUAUCCUAAAGGUCGGCUAAGCUCGGACCAACAUUGAUCAUUGUCUUCUUGGACAAUAGUUUUUGCAUCGGAGGAAUUUUCAAAUUAAGAAAAGUGUCCAAGGAUCCUUAAUUGUCACCGAACAAUCGUAGAGGUCGGUUCAAAGACCUCCAAGGUGUUCUCUAUAGGGUCUCAAACUGCCAUGGCUUCUUGAAAGAAGCAAAGAAAAAUCUUCUCUUCCAUUCGUGAGUAUAACAGGGAGCAUCUCAGAUCAAUUGGAGGCCUUUCCGAGGAGAAAUAUACCACCAAUUGCUUUUCCGAGGAUGCCUUUUUAGAGUACGGCAUCCUCAAAAACUGAGGCUCAAAAUUGUGAAGAAAGCAAAGGGUAAAAAAACCUACGAGGACCUACCAGAAGUUUGGAAUAUAUUGGGUCGAGAUGAGGUUAUAAACCCUAAUCAACUGGACAAGGAAAGGAUGGAGAGGUAUUAAAGCCCGUCCCUGAAAGUUUCUUCGUACGGGCCAAGUUGAGAAGGAAAAGGUUUUGUCGCCCAAUCCUCGAGAUAGGCGAGCUCAAAAGUGACCUCGGUAUGGACAAAGUAUUGAGCUCAGAGCAUGUCCAUCUCCUCUUUGGUCAGGACCGACUAUUCGUAUUCUAGGCUGAUGUGAACUUCGGGCCCAACCUCACUUGGAGGUGAGGAGUGUCGAGCUCAAGGACAUUGGCUGGACGACCAACUCUCCGAUGAGACCUCGAUCUCAACCUCGCCCAUGGUAGAGAAAAUAGAAAAAUUGAAGGGGAAAAAGGAAAGAAAAAAUCUAACUAGCCAAAUAGGGAAACCCAUCGGUUAUCGUCGAAAGAAAGUGGGGAGGACGUCGGAAGGAGUGCCAAAGAAGAACUUUGCCGAAGAAGCGACAAGAAGAAAGCUCAAGUUGAUGGAAAGAUUUGCAAAAGAAGCAAGAAGUGCGAUAUAAAGGAAGGAGUUAUCCUCAUAAAAGGGUACGAACAACUCUGAUUAAAGCAAUAGUUCGACUUCUCGAGUUAAUUCAACCACAUGUCACCUCAGGAUGUGGUGUGAACAAUUUUUCCUACAGUGUAUUUUUCCUCACCUUCUCUUUUUAAGCUCCGCAUAUUCAUUUUUAAAACUAGAUUUCUUCAAAUAUAGCUGAUCAGUGACCGGACAAAAAUAAGAAAGAUUUUUUAAGAACAAUUUUUUUCUAAUCUUAGGCGGAGGCAAGAAUGAUCGUGCAAAUAGUAUUUGAGCAAGUAUUCAGGGGGAGCCGUCCGCAGACUGCGACAUUUUCAUUGAUUUCCCCAACUACCACGUGCCGUUCUCACGUGAUUUUGUGGGAAAGGUUCGCGCGGAAGAAACCAUUCCCACAAAAAAUCUGUUUGCUGUUUGAGUCAGAACAGGCAGGUUUCACCUCGAUUCGGUGGCUCGCCGGCUAGCGACUCUCGCCGAGAAAACCCAUCCGCGACGAGAAGUGUGAACCGGGUGACGUGCGACUGAUACGCGGACGCCGUCACGAUGACGCCGAUGAGAGACGCCACUCGACAGGUGGGCCCCGCAUUAGAACUCACCCGAAACACACCUUGGGCCACGAGGACGGUCGGUCAAGGCCUCAUUAAAAUAGCCCACCCCACCAAACGCCAAUCGUCAAAAAAAAACAGACAUACUCUGUUACAAUGACCACCGGGGCCCAACCUGAAGCGGUUGGCCUGUUGGAGUCGGUGGUGUCGGCCCCACGAAAUUGCUUGCAUCCGUUGUGGUGGGCCCUCAAGACAAAUCCACGCGUCGCAUCUCGAACGGCUCAUGCAGAUCUGAGUGCAUAUCAUCGAGUGCACGUACGGUAGAUUAUCUUCUACACUGUCGGAAAGAAUAAUGGCAUCAUACUUCUCUGUUUAUUAAUUAUAUGCUUUAUUUUCCAUUGUAAUAUUCGGCCGCUAGGCGACGUUACACGCACCCUCUUUGGGACCUUUAAUUAUUCGCCGUACUUACAAAUGCUAGUUUUUUUUAUUGUACAGCCUCCUUGGACUCUUGGAGGUACUUCCCAUUGGCCUCUCCAUUAUUUUGAAUAAUAAUUUGCAAUUAGAUAUAAAAAAUUAUUAUUCAUUUGAGCAUUGCAGUUGUGGGACGGGCAUGUUCGUUGCUUCGCUAUUAGGUAGUACGUCAUCGAUGAAUUGCCCCUCUAAUCUAUUCAAUCAACUGGGUCUCAGAUUAUGAGCUAAGAGUUAUAAGAUACUAGGAUAAUCUAUGAGGUUUACCAAAAUUUCUGUUAAAACUUGUUAGUGACGCUCCCAAUUAAUUUCCGUUAAAAUCUUUAUUUUGUAAUGGCCAAACUGUCUUCUGAUGUAUGAGAACCCUACCAAUUUGCGCUGUCCGUGUGUACGACCCCACCAGUACGCACAAAAUCCAACGUGAUGGUUGCUGCAACAACACAUCUUGACCCUUAUCUAAAUAAGCUAUAGAUAUUGGAAAUUAUAUAACUCAUAGCUCAUUUGGAUAUUUAUAUUGGUCUGCUUAGCCCCCAUCUCUUUAAGAUCUGCAUAAGCCCAACUUAAAUCCUGACUUAUGGAUCUGUUGGUCUGCAAGAAAAGCAAAAAUAAAAGAGCAUGGUGGUCUUUUUUUUUUUUCCCCUUUUACAUGAUUUUUGUGGAGAAAUUUUGAGUUGAUAUAAGCCAUAGUUAUAUAGGUGGCCCAAUCCAUGAGUUUGGUAAGAAAUUCAGUCUAAUCUUGCCAGAUUAGCAAGAUAGGCCUCUAAUACUCAUAAUUUUUGGUUCCAGCAUUGAAUAGUGUCUUCAAUUCUAAUUUUGUAAUAUUCUUUCUGAUCCAUGCUGUUAUCACCCAGAUUUUUUGCCAAUUUUUCUCUGAAGUGAUCCUAGUCAAAUAUCUCUCACCCCCACAAAACUAAAUUCUAUCUAAAUACUCUUCAAUUCAACCAGUUCAAUAACCCUUGAUCCUUUGCUCGGACUAUUUUUUAUACUUAAUAUUUAACAUAUUUUUAUUUUAUAAUUUAGUCAAAUUAUCCUAUAUUCAAAUUUUAUAACAGCCACAUGCAUUUUCAUUUGCAUUCUAACUAGUUGUCAUGAAAUAUACAUAUCCUGAUAAGCUAUUUACAUAUCAUAAUAGUUUUUCAAUAUUGAAGAAGGGAGCAAGUUUUACAUUUAUUAUUUAUGAUUAUGAGAUUUAAUCAAAAUUUUUUAAAAAUGGCAAUCAAAAAUUAUUGUUUUCUCACCAUAAUUGUAUGUUAAAUUUUAGAAAUACAUUUAUAAAACAAGGUGUCAAAAUCAACACGAUGUAUUGCAGUAGAAUCAUGAAAGACAGCACAUAAUACAUCAUAUACGAAUUAUAUGUAUUGAUAUCAUAUUGCUUGUGCCACUGGGGCUGCUUUAUCCAAAUUAAGGAUUAUUUAGCAAUAUUCAGAUUAAUGAUCCAAAGAAAAUAUUCUAAUGAUCAUCGAUGCCUUGCAAAAGCAAAGCAAAUGAAUACUUGGAGCUAUAGUUGUGAAUACUUGUAGCUAUACAUGUUGAUUCAUCUGCUUCUAACUUCAGAGAUAGCUGCAAUUUUUAUUUAUGGAUUUAUUCUCCUGAGGUGCUGAACAAAACGAGGGAAUUUAGAUAUGAGUAUUGAAACUCCCUGCGACCUUUGGGAUGGAUGAAGAAACAAAAACUGUCGCUUUUGAAGAAGCUAAAGCUCUUACCAAGAAAAGAAAGAAGCUAACAUUGACCCGUACGUAUAAUGCCACAGAGGCGUAACAUGGCUCACCACCACGCUGAAAACACCUGUAUCUCAAGUAGAACAACGGUGUGCCGGCUGAAACCGGCGAACAUAUUAUAUGCUUGAAUUAAAAGUAACUUUUUUUAGCAAUUCAAUGAAUGUAUCUAAUGUGCGCCCCAAUCACCACCUCCAGUUUCCAUGCACCUCUACUUUGUUUCCACUUGCACAGUGGUCAAAAGGUCAGAAGACUUUUUUGUCACUUUAAGUUCCAAUGAAAUAAACAUCUAUAAUGAAGACUACGAUGCAAAAUGUGGUCAAAUAAUAAUGUCAAACUGUCAUAAAAAUAUUAUAAAAUAAAAAAUGGUACGUAGGCUUGUUGUUCAUAGAAUGCAAGCCAAUUAUGCUUGUCCAACUGGUCAUAUCCCUCGAUUUAACAAUCGAGGAUUUUGGAAUUUGAAUUUUAAAGGGAGCAUUCUCAAGUAUUUAGAUCCAGAUAAUUAUAAUCGAGAACAUCUUUGCUCUUUUUUUCUCUCUGGAAAUAGGAAAUACAGGAAGAAGAAUGUAAGUGAAUCAGAAAAGGUAUAAUGGAAGCAAUUUAAGAUUGUAGAUGGUCAUAAGUAAAAUGUUUGACGGCUUAUACCUUAUUGCAUGUGAUCAGACCUCAUUUAUUAUAAAUUGAGAUAUUUUCUAAAGAGAAUAUGUAAGAGAAAUCGAGUAGUUGGAAAAAUCGGAAUCUAUAAAUCUAACAAUAUCAAGAUUUUCAACGAACUUAUUCAAACAUUUCUUAAAUUACUUAAAACAUCAGCCAUAUUCUACUUCAUUCGGCACAUAAAUGUACUCCAACUCUUUUGCUGGUUAAUUAAGUCAGAUAGAGCUCUAUGGUGAUUUUAACUCGUCCUACGUUUCGACAGUCCCAUGCCAUUAAGAUGUUGAACGUGAAGAACCUGGAAUCAAUGUAACAUACGUCACUUGAAUUAGGUUAAAUAAAACGAAAUUAAACGUUUACAACUUUAUGUAAUUCAAAACAACAGCCAUUUACCAGCAAAAAUGUUAAGAACAAAAGAUAUCAACAACGGUCUAAUUUUUUUUCUGUAAACAUGCUGCAGACUCCAAGCGCUUCCAUCUACCAUGAACACUCUUUAAAACAGAGGUGGAAAAAGAAAAAGCGAAAAAAUAAAAAACUGAUUUUUACGCAUCCGCGAUGGCGGUCAAAGUACCACCUGCCGCACACCGCAUCGAGUCCACACGUCAACGAGAUGAUAUAAGACGCGACGUGCGCGGUAGCAUCACCGGUUGGGCUCGCGAGAUCCAGCCCUUCGGGUGCCGGGUCGGCGUUCAGAUCGAGGCGCCCCGGGAUCGCGUUCUCCGCGACCCUUUCCUCGGCCGUUGCCUCCCCACCGGUUGCCAGCUCCUCCGCUCCCCUCCUCCUCCGGUCAUCCCUAAAGUUGCUCCCAACCUCGAAGUCCUCUCUCUCGAACCUUGGCCGCCACCUCGACUGCCCCUCCGCCGCUACCCUCCGCCGGAUGCCAGCGCCGCCGCUACCCUCCCUAACGGGGAAGCACCUCGCCGCCUCCCGCACCCGUCGAAGGAUGGCGUAGAACUCCUCCACCUCGUCGUCGGUCACCGACCGAUCCCUCUCGUCCUCCGCUCGCGCCCGAGUCCUCCUCUUCUCCUCUUCGCCGUCUCCGGGCCGUUUCCUCGUCGCCGUCUCCAUUCUAGUCGGUGCCGUUAGUUCACGGCGUACGCUCCUUCUCUCCUCUCCAAUUUCUGGGUCUCCUGCUGCAAGGUUGAUCUUCGGCUUCGGGUGGGUCGGGCCAGAAAUACCCAACAGCGACGGUGCGGAUAAUAACAGGCCACCGUGAUGACGUCGGCUGCUGGGGGGAGGGAUGACGUUGUCUCAUGACGUCAGGCCCUCAAUGAUGGCACCCAUUGGAUUGGGAGUUGGGACCCCAGCUUCCUUUCCCGUUGCUUCCUGCGUCUGGUGCUGGAUCUGGUUGGCGCGACAUCUCUCCACCGGCCAUAUAACAUCUGGGCCGUUGAUUGGUGUUUGUUGAAUCCAAAUGCUGUCCGUUUGAUUGGUGGAUGUUGAAUCAGUCACCGGGAAGAGAUUCGACGAUGUAUUCUAAUGACAUCAAGUGUGCCAUACUGGCGUACUGCUUUGCUAUCCGCUCCGUCUACACCUGCCACGUGGUCCACCAGCGUGGCAUCAAUUUCCUGAUUAUGACAAAGGAUUGGAAGGUGAAUAAACGAUGUUUGAAUUAUGAGUUUUGCGUGUUAUAAUGGGUGACUUUGACAAGGCGUAACAGCUGCCGUCCCUCCCUCUGGGAAAGCAUGCAGUUGCCAUCCUAAUGAAUUACAUGCGUGCUUCCGGAUUUGCAUUCAAAUGCAAGUCUGAAGGCAAAUGUGGUGAAAUUUUUGAUAGACUUUAUAACCUUUCAACACCUCUCUACCAUUGGAAUCUACCAAGUGUUAGGUUGAGAGAAAGAGAGGGAGAGCAUCUCUACCCAUUGGAAUCUUUUGAAUGUUUGAAAUCUAUCGAAUGUUUAGGUUUUUUUUUGUCUAAGACGGGUGGAUCAGACAUGACGGGUACGGAUAUACCCAAUAAAGUCAAAAAAUAAGAUACCACGGAGAGCCAAAGGCAGCUCACCAUCUCCGGUCCACAAGGUGCCUCCGAAAUGACGAGCUACAUAUGCAGCCACCCAAUCCGCGACACCAUUGGCUUCGCCGUAAGUAUGCUUGGCCUGAAAGGCCAAACCAUCCCUCACCAUAGCCCAAAUGUCACGGAGCAGUGGAUGGUCACUGCCGUCACCCCUGGGACCCCCACGGAUCCAACUGAUAACAGUAGCUGAAUCACCCUCUAGAAUGAUAGACCUAGCCUGUAACACACAUCGGACAUGCCGAAGGCCCGCCCAGGCGCUCUCAGUUCCGCACUCGGAACCGAAGUGUCAAUAAAUGACUACCCCCAGCAGCCACAACUCUAGCAGACGGGUCCCGAAUGACGAAACCCGCGCCUCCCCUCGUGCCACCAUUCAGGACUGAUCCAUCAAAGUUGACCUUGAGGAAACUCAGGGGUGGAAGCUCCCAGGUGAAAAACACCGUGCGGGAUACUGCCGAAGCAGGGUAGGAGCCCCAGAUGUUCCGAGCUGUCAAGGUCCCUCCAGCGGGGGGGGGGUGUGACACAAUUCUGCCGCCUGACUAUGGGCUCUCUCGACCACAAAUCUCGGCGACAUGCCUCGUUCAUCAAAAAUGCGAGCGUUCCUGGCCAACCAGAUCUGGUAGGCGGUACAGCUCACUCGAGCCACCUCCUGACGAAGCACCGGGAAAACCGAACCCUGGCUCAUGGCCUGUAAGAACUGGUCCCUAUAGCUCCAUACCGGCUGCGGAACCCCUGCCAGACGCCAAGUAUCCCUCGCCCGUGAGCACCGAAAUAAGGCAUGGUCGACCGUCUCGACCACACCGCAAACCCCACACUCCAAUGGGAUCCUCAAUCCUCGUCCACCAAGUAUAGCUCUGGUAGGAAGGCGGUCCCAGACCACCUUCCAAAGGAACAGCGCGACCCUCGGGAGGAGGCCCAAACGCCAGAUCCAGGCACAAUCGAGACCAAAUGUUAGGUUUGCACAGAAAAAAAGAGGCGGGAGGCGGGAGAGAAUGCGCCAAAUGUUAGGUUUGCAUAGAGAGAAAGAGAAAGAGAGAGAGUAAGAAAGAGAUACAUGGGGGGUGGGAGAGAAUACGCCAAAUGUUAGGUUUGCACACAGAGAGAAGAGGGGGUGGGAAAGAAUGUGCCAGCUUCUUGAAUUUAAAAGUAGUAAUUAGAUCUAAUCGGAUAAGAUAUGAAUACGAUCGGAUGCAUGAUAGAUAAAAAAAAUAUCAAACCAAACCUAUCAUAUUUAUUAAACGGUCAAAAAUCCAAAUUCAAAAUAUACUAUCCGAUUAAAUGAUAGUCUAACUCGAUCUACAAUAAAUUGAAAUAAGUUAAACGAUUAAAUAUUGUCACUCCUAUUUUUGGUCCCUCAAUCUUAAUUUUGAUGUGUGAACAUUAUCCAUUUUGGGGGUAAAUUACCCAUCAUCAUCAUCGUAUAAAUACACUAGGUGGAUGUGGUGGCCGGGGGAAAAAAAUGGGCUUGUCCCUCCAGUGCGGCCAUCUUCGGCGCGUCAGCUCAACCAUGGGGAGCAGUCUUUGUGUGGGAAUUUGGAGGACUUCCAUGCGAAGCCUAUGGGCUAAAGAACCUGGGAUUCCAUUGCAAGGUCCCGGAUAUUUCCCGAAGGAUGCUUCUCCCCGAAGCAUUAUCUUCUCCUGUCCCCCACUAUACCUUACCGACUAAUUCCAUCCUUGUCAUCAAUAAAUUUUUCACGUCACAGCAGGUUCCAGACUUCGCCCAUUACUUCCAAAGUUGAUACAUCAGUGCCCCCCGUUUGAUGGGUAUUGGGUGUCGACUAUCAAGUCCACUCACCGUAUUUAUUUAUUGAUUUAUUUUGUAUAUCUUGAAGGACUUCAAUAUAUUUGAAGUCAAUUCAAGAAGAGUUUUCUAGAUUGCUUUGGAUAUAAUUCAAUAGAUGAUCACUCCAAAGGCAAAUCAAGAUGACUUUGGUUAUUGUUUUGCCUAGAAAAGGAGGGAGGUGGACGAAGAGGAGGUUCACUUUGCUACGGAUCAAAGUGCGUUACAUGCAAGCUAGCCUCGAUGAUAUAUAUAAUUUAGUAGAUGACUGUAAUGAAGCCAGCUACGUACAUGCGUCGUUCGAUUUGAUGUUAUGGAAGUACUUUAGAUUGUCUCCUUUUGUGAUAAGCGGCUGACAGCAUGUGGCCGGCUGUUGGAUCGAUGUAGACACAAUAAUAUGGCCUCGACUAUUUCCCUCCUUCGAGAGAGCGUCUCAUGCAGAUUUUUCAUGAAAUUUAUAAAAGUAUAAAAUUUCUAAUAUGAUGAUGUGAUAUUUACGAACCACAAAAUGCCUUCAAUGCGCGUGACAAGUUAAACUAAUUUCUCAUUUUAUUUUUCUUAAAUAAAAGUGAAGUUUUCAUGUGGCAAUGAACUUAAACCCAAUCCAAAGAAUAUGUGCAACGUACCAUAACAUCAGAAAUCUAACUUAGAGAAUCACGCAGCCAUUGGAGCCUUCCCGUUGCUCCUUUUGGAUUGACACCAUGCAAUGUGACCAAGAAAGGAACGUUAAGAAAGUUCAAUCACAGCUGCGUGAUUUUUGGGUAAGAUUAUUAGGUUACAAAACUAUUGUCAUCUGAAAAUAUGACAAACUCAUCACAAUAUAUAGUCCAAAAUUACCAUUUUAAAUGAUGAUUCAUAGGUACCCGUAUAGUAUUUGUGGACCAGAAACUAAUCAAGUAAAUUGAUUUUUUGUCAGGGUGGAGCAUACAUUCUAACCAUCCAAGUACAUAACAAAAUGCAUUUCUUCCAUAUUCCUAUCUUCUUGGACAAGGUAUAGGUACUAGCAUACCAUACAAUGAACUAGCCACAAUCCCUUCUUUUGAUGCCUAAAUUCUGCUUGACCAUGUUCUAAUAAUUUAGAGGUAUGGAGGGCGCCAAUCAAUCCGCUGGUCCAUAAUAGUAAAACAUGGAGCUCCAAUCUGCUAUGGAGAGUUGUGGAUAUGCAUACAAAGAAAAGAGAUUGAUCCACCAGGAUGGCUCCGGUCGGGCCUUCUUCGAUGCUUAAGUCAAACAGGCCUGAGAAUUAUAAUGAAAAAUUGUAAGAGAAGAAAAGCAUUAGAGUAGAGUGAUCUCUCUAGAUUGUUAGGCUUUGAGUGCUUAGCUUGAAUUACUCGACCUAAAGUGCUCCGUAUGGGAGCUCGGCCUGGAGAGUUUGGUCUAAAAUGUUCGGCCUAAAAGCUCGACCUAGAGUGCUCACCCUAUAAGCUUAGCUUGGAGUUUUUGACCUAGGAGAUCGACAUGGAGUGCUCGGCCAGAAAGCUCGGCGUGGAAUACUCGGCCAGAAAGCUCGGCCUAGUGCUCAUUUUAAGAGCUCAACCUAAGGUGCUCGGUUUGGGGGCUCGACCUAAGGUGCUCGGCUUAAGAACUCAGCCUGGAGCGCGGCAUGGAAGCUUGGCCUGGAGUGUCUGGCCAGAGUGCUUGGCCUAAGAACUCGACUUGGGAGCUCAAUCCAGAGUGCUCAACCUAGGAGCUCGGUCUAGAGUGCUCAAUGUGGGAGUUCGAUAUUAAAGCUUGGCUUGGAAUGCUUGGCUUGAAGUGCUCGCUCUGGAGUCCUUGGCAUGAGAGCUUGGCCUGGAGUGCUCAACAUGAGAGCUCGACCUAAAGUGCUCGGCAUUGAAGCUCAGCCUGGAGUGCUCGGCAUUGAAGCUCAGCCUGGAGUGCUCGGCUUGAGAGCUUGGCUUGGUGGACGACGGUUGGUAUGGAAGGGCGGCUUCCAAGGACUCGUGUCCUGAUCUCCAAAGACGCGGAUCUUGUAUACACAGUGCUUGGAUCUCGGGUGGCACGGAAAGGCGGCCUCACAAGACAUGCAUCCUAGUCUCCAAGAAUGUGCAUUUUGUCUGAAGAGGAGAUUGCAUGGAAGGAUGACCGUGGAAGAGCAGUUGAGCUCAGAGAUAGCCAUAAGAGCUUGAGAACCUCUUCUUGGGUGCUUCUGGCCAUCUAUGAUUGGACCUUUUGGUCGUUCCUCCCUCCUUUUGGAGUUUCUUGAUGUUGUUGACAUAGAUAAGGGAGCAUGGAUCUAUUAUACUUUAGAGGUAAGAAUCAAGGGAUUGUCGUAACUAUCUUUCUUAUCUGUAUUCAAAUUUAUUAUAAUCUCCUUCCUUGUUUGAACUUCAGCAAGAAUUCAUUUUUUUUUUGAAUUCAAAUCUUUUCAAAAUACUUGCAAAGAGAUAAGCGAUUAGAUUUAGGCCACAUCACCUUUCCAUAGAGAUAAGCAACAUCCCAUAGCACUCAUGGGCCAAGCCAGAUUGUUAAGCAACAAGGUGACUCCAAAAACUUAAACUUAUAGGAAAAAUUUAGGAUGAUGGAAAAAUUAGAGAUAAUUAAAUAAAUAAUUAAACUACAAGGAUUCAAAACCUCCAACAAAUUCUUUGAUGCUGAAAAAUUUAAGCUUAUAGAAAAAUGAUCCACUACAGACUUAAUAGCUCCAUCUAGCAGAUGCUACAGUCAUGGAGUCUAAUUGGCCUUGCAAGCGAACCGGUUCCAUUGAAAAAAAAGAAGAAGAAAGAGAGCAUCCGUAGCAAUAUUGGUACUUUGAACUUAAUAUUGAGAUUGGAGUUAAGGAGGUUACCCGUGUGCUUGAAAUGGAUUGCUGCCUGUUGGACUUCUUCCAUCACCGGAGACCUGGUCAAGAUAGCUCCCUCAGCUAAUGAAACAGUCUGAACCCGGCUCAUUCCUGUGCCUGGAUAACAGCUUGUACGGGCUACAUUACAAUUCGAUGUUUAUAAGGUCAAAUAGUGGAGAAGUUUCAAGUCCAUUCAGGGCCAUUAUUUCUGCAAGAACUUGGUUUAUCCAUUAGAAGUAUAGUCCAGUCGUUUAGUGUAACAAUCUACAACCUCGUCCAAAAAUAUUAGCCAAAAAAUAUUAUUUGAAUUCUUUGACCCUAUAUAAGGUCCAAAAUCUACCUAAUGCAUAGCCAAUGUGGAAUUAACUACACGCUCAUCCUCCAUUUAAGCCUAUGCGUCCUCACCAGGUUAAGAGUCUAAAGCUCUUCAAAUGUCAACCCUCCAGUUUAAAUUCUGGUGUCCUCAUUAAACUAAGGAUCUAAAUCUAUUCAAAUCCAAUCAUAAAUAGCAGGAUCAACAUGNNNNNNNNNNNNNNNNNNNNUGGAUACGCGUGCCGAUCACGUGGGCAUGGCGGCUCAAUUCCCCAUAACAAGUAUGAUCAACAUGUAGUCAGUCCCUAAUGAACCAAUGUUGCAGUAUUCCCUAAUCUACAUGGGCUUUAGGUUGGAUGCUCUAAUUCUAUUUUAUAUAAUUUUGAAGGAUCUCAUUCAAAAAUACUAGUCGAAAAAUAUUAUUUAAAUUUUUUAAUUAUAUAUAAAUAUUUAAAAUAUAUUUCGUGCAUAGCUAGUACACCAUGACAUGCAAAAGCAACCUAUACAGAGAAAUUUUCGUACGUCAACUAACUCGAUUUUAGAAGCUAAAUUUUAGUUCGAUAGAGACUCCGUAGCAAACACGAUAAGUCACCGUUUGAGCGCAAGACGCCGACGGUUGCAAGCAUUGGAAAGCGUCAAGCCCCAAUGUUCUCAUCAGUACUACUGCUUUGUCUUCUUCUUGGAUAAUUUUCUGACUCAUUCUCAUGUAAAUAAAAUACUAGAUAUUUCAAGAAAAAUAAUGUCUUGCAAAUAUAAAUAUUUUAUGGUAUCGUUAUGAGAAAAUCCUAUUUACUGUUCCUGUAGGUGGUGUUUUAACUAUUUCUUUCGGUUUCAGCCUUUUACAUCUUUAUUUGUGUAUGAAUAAAUACCCACAUAUUAAUCACCUUUAAUUCCCAAUUUUUAUUAUUUGCAUAUGAACAAAUUUCUCUGUAUUUUAUAUACCAGAAUUCCAGAUCUUCGUACUUAGUUGAAAUUAGUUUGAUGGUUGGACUUGUGAUUAUGGUGUUAGGAAUCUUGAUGACAACAAGCUACAACCAAAUUUUAUACCUGAUUUUAGUUCUAUCUCUUGGCAUGGAUUUAACUCAUCCGGAAAAGUUUUUGGUAAUAAUUUUGAAAGCGAGAUGUUUUUACUUUUGGCAAAAAGCACGAUGCGCAUCGUGAUAAAAAAACAUUUUAUCUGCCACCACCAACCUUUGACAAGAUUUAGAAUAUAAUAAAAUACACUUGACAAAUGCCCUGAAGGCUCUAGCUAUUUGCUAAUAAAUAUCUUUAGUGGAGGAAAAAAAGAGAGAUAAAAAUGGAUUUGGACUUUUCUCUCCUUCCAUGAUUGGACUGGAUAGGAUGCCUAUUAGGCUCAAUCACAGCCAUUGUGCCAUACAUAGAUGGAUGUAAUUGAUAAAUCGGCUCUCUCCAAUCCAACCAGGUUUGGGGAGGAUCCCAACUCCCAACACAGGAAUACCCUCAGCUUACCAGUCUCAUGAACCUUCUCAUAGUGGCCUAGUGGUUGCCUUCAUAAGGCCAAAACCGCACCAUUUAGUCUCGCGGCCAACUUUCCUUGUAGAUGCAGGUGGGGAGGUAUUAAAAAAGAAUUUUCUACAGUAAUUGUGGGAAAUGAAUUAUCAAAUUGAAUUUCUUUCAAAAAGAAAAAUAGAAUUGUAUUAAUAAUGAAUGGAGAGGUAUUCCUGAAUAUAUUUAUUAUUCACAUACCAUUUUAGAAGAGCAAUAACAAGAAAGUAGAAUUAAAUUAUGUAUAGAAGGGCCUAUGCCACACCUUCGUCGCGAAGAGAAUCAUGUCUUUGAUGGGAUCCCUUAAAUUUAUGAGAUCUCUCCUUUCUCGUCAAAUAUCUGAAUUCUUUCCUCCUUUGAAAUUCAAAAACUUAAAAAUUUGUUUCAUUCAUAGUCUGAGAAGACCGAUUAUAUGGUUCUUUCUUCCUUGGGGCAUGGGUUUAUGUGCUUUUAGAGACAAUUUGUGGAUGACGACGAGUGCCAGGAGAUAAACUUUGGUAGCUGAGAACCUACGAAUGAAAUGAAGGCCCAUCAUAGAGAGAAGACUCCUAUUUACAAGCCCAUCCCUCAGAAUCUGGACUUCGAGCCCAUGACAGACAAAAGAUUCAUAGAUGUGAGAUGAGAGCAAAUUUAUCGAAGUCAUGAAUCCUGAUGAAGGUAGGACUUGAAUUCACGUCUUCGGUAUCUAUAUCAAAAGUGUUUCAUAACAUAACCAGCUAGUUAUAAUUUAAGUCCCUGAAUGGCAGAUGUCAUCAGCUGAACUUAUGUAUCCUGAAUUUGGAGCAAGCAGCGAAUGCUUUUUGCCAUUUUGGAAUGUAAUUUCUCGUGGCUGUUCACCAGACUGCUCAAAAAGAAAAAAUAAUCAACAGUCGGUUCAGAGAAAUUUUGAUGCUCGUUGGAUUGUUUCAAUCCAAGAUAUGGUACUAUCUCUUGCCCACAUUAUUUAAUUUCCCCAAUUACACGAGCAAUAGCAAUAUAAACAUGGAUUCCUUUCAGCUAGACUCAAAAAGUUGAUCAAUUCAUAAAGCUGUUUCUGCCAUUAAUACCUGCCUUGCUACAGUCAUGAUACUUACUUCGAUGGUUUUGCUUGAUUUCAUGUUAGACCAUAAAUUCUCAGAUUUUAACUCGAUUCUCUGGGCUCAUAGGGAGUGUUUGCUAUGACGGGAGAAUAUAGCUGACAUCUAAACUACUUAAAGAUAUUUCGCGAAAACUACAUCUACACUAGUUGAGUUUCUCCCGUACUCCCAUCUAUUAUGGUUGUUUUAUAAAUCUAGUUUGCCUUUUUUUUAGUUGUGACGAUAUUCACCAAGGCAGGCAUGUGAAGUCACUGAUCUUGAUACAUGGCCAAUAGUUGAUCAAAACCAGGUUAGUUUUCAACUUAUCAUGGGUAUUCUACAACCUCUCACAGUUCAUAGAGUCAGAAGAAUCGACACAUUUACUUCUGUUCUCUGCUGCCGCAUAUUAAUUGUCUGGAGAUGCAGUGAUUUCUUUAUAGCUUUGAUGAACUUCCUACAACCAUAGGCAUGCGCUGCAGGUGACCUUAAUUUCUCUUGAAAGGCUUUCACCGCUGACACUGUAAACUCAUGGCCUCUUUUUUUUUCAAUAGGUCAAACAGAUCGUACACUUUUGAAAUGAAUGUAUCUAAUAAACAAUAAAAAUAAGAGAUGGUUCAGGAAUGGUCCAUAGCUGUUCCAAAAGAAACCGAGCAUCAAAGGAUACAACCCAAUCAGUAGCUCUAUUUAUCUUCAUGUAUGCAUGAGCUGCCCGAAAUAUUGUGCAAUUCUUUAUCAACUUGAAGAUGUCCUGUAGUAACGAAUGCCUACAGUCCUUCCUGGCUUGACCCUAGAUCCAUCUAAUAACUGUAGCAGAAUUCCCUUCAAGUCGAAUACACCCCGCCCUUGAAAUGAGCCUUGCAAAGGUAACGCCUUUUUAUUUAGCCCUCAGCUUCGCACCAAGCACGAAAAUGUCGAAAAUGCAAGUACCUCCUACCGCACCAAUUCAGAAUUAGGACCUCUGAUCGCAAAGCUAACUCCGCCUCCACUACCGCCAUCCGAUACACUACCAUUGAAGUUAACUUUGAUAAAAUUCAGAUGUGGGGGCUCCCAACAGAUGAAAAUCGUCUGAAUCGUUGCAAGAGCUGAACGAAGUCUUAGAUAUCCCUUGCUAUCACGGUAUCACCAGUGGUGGGAUACUGAUUAAUCUCGGUAGCAUGAAGUAGGGCUCUCUCGGCAAUAACCCUCGAUUGUUGGCAUCUCCUUUUUCAGUGUAACAGCCCUGCAGCUUUUAAGGCAUUAGCUUGGCUACAAGUGAAUUAGAUUAACAUAAUUUUGGUCCAAAAUGAAUGUUCUAUAUUUGAUUAAGAACUAACCUUCAAGAUUUUCAAUUAUGCACUUAGACACACGCACCCAAGUUUUUUCAAAAAAAAUGGAGGAGGAGGGGGGAUUCAGUUUUUAUUGUUGAUGAUAUAUUAUUUACCAUUUUUAAUAAAUCUUCUAUGGAAUAUAUCAUGGAAAAUGCAUUUUGAUUGUUAUAUUAGAAAGAAUAGAAGAUUUUGGAGAAAGAAUAGAAAAUUUUGGAAAUAAAAAUAGAGGUUGCACAUUGCCACCAUUGUGUUGUAUUGUAUUUAUAGAUGCAUGCUUACAUACAAAUACUGAUGGAAAUAGAUACAUACUUACGUAAGAAUACAAAUGAAAAGUUUGAUCCAAUAGAUUUGGGUUUAAAUAUAAAUUUCAAAUUCAAAUUUAAAAUACAACAGAAAUGAUAAUUUUGCAUCACCCAAGAUUCAGGGAAGAUGAUUACAUGGCUGAUGUUUAAAAUUCAAAUUUAAAUUUGGAAUGCACUAGAAAUGAUAAUCAUGUUAGCAUACCUUGUAAUUGCGUGUAUCAAGUCUGCUAUCAAUGGCUAAUGUUUGAAAUUUAAAAUCAAAUUUAAAAUGUAUAUUGGUAUAUCUCAUAAUUGAGGCUGGCAUGAAUCAAAUCUGCUAUAAAUAUUCUUACAUAACAUAUUUAAAUAUAAUUAGCUUACAAUUCAUAUGUAAUUCUUAUAAUUUAUGUUUGUCCUAUUUUUGACAUAUUUCGAUCUAGGAAAUCUAAUGCAUCAAUAGAAUGAGUUAUAAAACUAAAGUAAAUCGAGAUGAAUGAAUCCAAAAUAUUAUCCUAAUAAAAAUACAAAGAGGAAGUGAAAAUGCUUAAUGAGAAUUUUGACAAUUCCAUUCUUCAAAUGGUUAUCAUUUUAUGUUUAGUUGUUACACACUUAGCAUUUAAUAUUUAGUCCAACACACACCUAUUAUAAUGCUUGCAUGUAUUUAUGCAUGUUUAGCAUAUAUUUUUUAUGUGCAUCAUUUUUUUUGUAAAAAAAUGGAUUUAUUAAACCAAUCUAGUAAAAAUACAUCCACGAAAAUCAAAAAAUAAAAUAUACAAAAAAUUUAAAAAAAAUUCUGAUGCAACAGCCCAAAAGGUAAUUCCUAUAUGAUUAGCACCUUAUAAGACAGAAGAGAAGCAGCCAUCCUCUAACAAUCGAGUAGUAAUUAAAGGGUUGAAAAUGGUCUCGAGCCAGCCCGACUUCAGGCCGGGCUUUGAGCAAAGCCCGAAAAAAAUUCGGGCCGAGUUUGGGCUUAAAUGUAGAGUCCAUUUGUUUCUUGGGCCAGGCUCAGAUAUGUCAUGGCCUGGCCCGAGUCUAAGCCCGAACAAGGCCUGAACUGAAGCCCAAAUUUAGGCGAAAUUUAAUUUUUUAUAUAUAUUAUUAUUUAGAGAGAAUAAUGAGAAAGUAAAUAACAAAUUAAAAUAGAUUUAGCUGAAAAUUAUGUAUUAUGUAUCAGUUACUUAUAUUGUACAAGAGAGCCUAAUUUUUAAUUAGCUCAUUUAGUUACGAAGCAAUAUUAUGAAUAUUAAACUUUAAUUGGGUUUUGGCCCAAAUGGCUUAUUCAGGCUAGCCCAACCAGGUUUGGGCCGGGUUUAGGUUGGGCUCGGUCUUAGAUUAUUCAAAAAAUUUUGAGUCUAAACCUAGCUCGACCAACUUCUAGCCCUAAAUGAUUAAUGGGAACUAAUUUCAAUUGACUGGAAGGCACUCUAAUCACAGUCAAUGAGUCACCUUCAAAUAAAAUCACCACAAGCUUUAAUCCUUUCCGCAACUCAGCCAUUGGUUCUGCCAUCUAAAACAAUCGGGCUUCCACAACUGCUCCACCAUAAUCAUCCUUAUUCAGAACACUGUCAUGCGAGGAAAUAGAAGGUGGUGGGCUCCAAAGAAAAAUAAUCAUGCGAGGAGAUCCGGAAUCUGCGAUACUAUGUACACUGUUCAAUGCGCAGAUCUACAUGUACGGACAUACAAGUACAAAGACUAAACAAAUAAACAUUAUAAACAACUAUCGAAAUCAAGAGGUGAGAAUUUAACUUUCGGUCAAGGAAAGAUUAAUUCUAAAACAGCUGUCAAACAAAUGAUUUUGUUAUCAAUCACCCUUUUGCUGUCCAAUCUAACCUAACCCAUUUGCAGCUGGCUAGUUGCUGCUAUUUAGUUUGAGUCGAGCAACCUGGUCUUUUUAAGAAUUAUCUAGCAAGUACAAGUGCAAGUAGAUAUUAUUUCAUUAAAAGGAAGAAGAGGAAGGUGUUGCCAGAUAUCAAAAUAUCUAUUUUAUAGUUUAUUUAUAGACUAGCUAUCAAAGUCAUAGUUCUCGCAGAACAUUCUUGCAAGCGUAUAUUCCUUAUUAAAUAUUUUAAUUAUAAUAUUUGUGAAGAAAGAAUCGUAAGUAGGCUUUCAUCCGAAUCCUUAGGAUGGUGGGUUGAGUGUUGCCGUGGCAAUUUAUUUCUCCAUGUCAAACACCGAUGUUCAGAUGGUUGCCGACAAAUGCGUCUUUAUUUCACAUUUUCGGUGUUCAAAUUUUUCAAGGAAAUUUAGCGCAAUCUCGGCACCAUGCGGCAGUCACGAAAACUUUAUUUGACCAAUAUAAUUGAAUCGCUGCCUACCCACACCACUUGCUUAAAGUGACCAAGCAGCGGCAUGUACCAUGUACUUGCGGCGAACGAUUUGUCUUGACCUAGGGUUGCAUCUUUCUGGCGAAAGAAUGGAUUCACUAUCAAUCAUUUGAUCAUCCACCACACGGAUCUGAAAGCACUCCAAACCCUAUCAGUGAUCUAUCUAUGCAGAUCUCAAAGCAAGUAGUCGAUAAUCUAGUGGUGAAUUCAUACUAAAGAAAGGGUAAAUCAUUCUUUUGCACGAAAGGCAUAAUCCAAGAUCGACCAGAAAUAGUAUGUUAGCAGGACCAACACAAUUAAAUCUUUCUUUACAAUUCCUCCACUGUAGUUUGCUGAAAAAAGAUUUUCACUGAAAUAUUUUUCCUGCGAUGCUGAUGCAUGGAUAUAUGAUGUCAAGAAAUGUAAUUUUUGCAUGUUUGCUUGAUUACAAAAAAAUGAUAUAUUUUAGAGUGGUUUGUAUUUAGUUAAGUACCUACUUUUAUUAAAAGUUGCCUAAAAUAUUUAUUAUAUCUUCAAUAAAAAAUUCAUAUUCCGUUUUAUUUAAAAACUUAAAGUAUAUUUGGAAAAAAAUAAUUUUUAGUCAAUAAAAAUUAAUUUUUUCAUAUCGCAUAUCAAUUAUUUUUUAUAAAAUAUUAAAAUUUUAUUUCUAUAAAAAAUUAUUUUUAUAUUUUUUUUAUAAAAAAAAAAGUAUAAGAUUUUUUUUCCCGCUUGCCACACCUUCCACCAUUCCCAUCCCACGAGCCGAACGGCUCCCAAGUCCUCAGUGGCCUUCAGCUUUUAACUCGGACCCAUCCACAGCAAAGCGAAGGGUCCCUUUUCCUUUGCCGUGGUCCUUCUUGUUUGUCCACUAAGUCCCUUUUAAAUUUUAAUCAGUACAACAUCCCCACCGAAAGCACGCUCUACAGUGUCGACAAACCCCUCGUUGUCCUUCCCUAAUCAUAUCAUAAUCUUUUAAUAAUCACCCUCAUAUAAGCUAAACUGUCCAAACUAAUCCACAUCGAAAUCAUCCAGAUCCUAUGAAAACUAAUUAAAAAAUAGAAAAGUACACCUCGAGUCGCGCCUUCCCAGGACCAAACGGACGGUCGGGAUAAAAAAUGUUCGCCGUCUCAGGGUGGGGACACGUACUGAGUGGAUCACGUGGCAGGGAUUAAUAAAGAUAAAGCAUAGGCUGAGGGAUUGGAGCAGGAGAUUCCACACGUGUCCCAUGAGCAAUGGAGAACAACGCCGUCGCUUCCCAAUAGAGAUGUGCACGGUUCUGAUCGGCUCAAUUGAAAAUUAUUCUUAAAGUUGAACCAACCUAAAUUAAUUUUCUAAAACCUAGAGCGAAACCAAACCGAUUUUAUACAAAAUCUAUUUCAAACCGAUUCAAAAAAUUUAAUUCAGUUUAAAUUGGUUUAUCGAAUCUCUUGCAACAUCAUGAUCUACUCAAAAAAUGGAGCUUCCCCUCUGACAAGAUGAAAAGGGCCGGGGGGAGAUAAAGAAAGGAUGUCACACUCAAACAUCUAUCAUCAAUAAAAAUCGAAUCUUUUAUUAAAUAGAUGCCAUACUCAUACAAAAUAAAAUGAGGAUCUACGAAAUAUCCAAUAGAGAACAAAGAAUAAAAAGUGGAUCCAAUGCUAUCCUAAAAAAACACUUACAUCAAAAUAAUAACUGAAUCUUCAAUCAAAGAUUCAAAAAAAAUAAUUCGAUAUUCACCUUAAAACCAAGGAAGUCAACCUCUGACGUGAGAUCACUCGAUUGUAAAGAGCAUCUACAAAAUAGUUUCUUUUCUACUUCUCGUUCCACAUCCUUUUCAGCUCUUCUGGAUCAUACUCUCCAUCACCCUCCUGAGCCAGUGCUGCUCAUUUGGUCAUGCACUAGAUCAUGGGAUUGAGAGAAAGGCAAGCGCAUGGAAAGGGGCGGUUGGGGUUUUUUCCUUUGACGAAAAAGGGGCAGCUAACGUUAAAAUGAAGUGGACAACUGGUGGUAGGAUAUAAAAGAGCUGUUGAUGUUUCUUAAGAACUUGUUUGUUCCGUAAAAAAAAUUUUUUUUAUUGAAAUGUUUUUUCUAAGAAUAUAAUUUUUGAAAAUAUGAUGUCUUGAAAAAUAAUUUUGAUAUAUGUAUUUGAUUAUGAAAAAGUGGUAUAUUCCAAAGUAGUUUAUAUUUGAUUAAGCAUCUACUUUCCAAAGAAAAUUAUAUAAAAUAUCUAUUAUGCUCAUAAUAAAGAGAAAGAUCUUACUCAUGGAUUUUGAUGGCUUGAAAAAAAAAAGAACCCCAAUUGCCAGCCAUUGAGAAAGUAGCUUUUUUUAUGUCCUCUAUGGAUUAAUUUGGUUUGAAGCCGACUUUUUGUAGGAACAUGAACUGAAACCGAGCUGAUUUUUUUUUAGAUCUAAUAGAUUCAAACCCAUAACAAAUUGAAUGUAGAAAAAUCUGAACCAAAUCAAACUAAAAUAAUCAGUUUGGAGCGGCUUUGCAGUUUGAUUGGUUUUCUCGCACACCCCUGUUUCCAAGAGAGUCGUGGCUUCUUUCUUCUUUUGGUAGUAACAGCUGGGUACGUUCAUAACAAGAUGCAUCUAAUAGAAAAGUGCAGCCUAAUACGGGCCAAACGUAAAGCUCAUAAAGGCUUUUACUAGGUUAGGACCAGUUGAAUGAUGGACCACUUAGAUCCAAUAUCUUAUCUACUAGGUUAGGACCAUGCAAGGCUUGCUCGGUUUAGUGUAUGGGACAAAUCGAUUUCUCGUGUCACGUAAAGCUUGUUUCCCAAGAAGAGUGAAACAUUUACGCAAGGGACAGAUAUUGGACUAUCACAAUACUAUGAGAAAUUGCCCCAACGCCUGCAAUUAGGAUGCUGUUCCCUUUUCUCCUGCGCAUCAUCCGGGCGUUUUUAAGUUUCUCGGCACGAUUGAUGGUAAUUCAUGCGAGAGAAAAAGUAGAUGACAAGCUCAUGUAUAUAAAAUCACAAUUUGUUGAGUCAUUAUUUUCGAUUCUAUCAUUCACAAUAUAUUGCGAAGCAAAUUACAACCAUAUGGUAAAUCUAAAAUAUUACUAGUUUCCCCAAACGAAACAGAAUUAUGUGACAAGAAAAUGUUAUUUUAGACUCUUAUCAAUAAUAUGAUUGUGUAGAUAUGCUAGCAAAACAACUUUCUUUUCCUCCUUCUUGCUUGCUAUGAAAUAAAGUUUUAAGCAAAAAAAAUGCUUAAUGUGAAGGUCCUGUUUGGGUAUCCCUCGAAAGAUACUGGGUUGAUUGAUGGAGUAACGAAUUCUUAUCUUUUAAAGAUAAUUAAUUACUUUUGAGAAAUAAUUUACCUAACUGCGGCCGUCGCAUCUCCUCCAACGGUCGACCUUCUCCGAAGAAUGUGCAGCGUCCAAACAGACUUGCACGCUUUUAGACUUGGAAAUUGGUCUACGAAGAACCAGAAACCAACCAAAAUCUAUCGAAAAUCAUGCAUCUGGAAUCACUUCACUAUCAUAAGAACUCAAAACGAGCCUUGAUUGAAGGUAUUUCUUUCAUUUUAUUAAUGAAGGUGAGUUGAGGCUAUAAAGCCAUAAUUCAAGGCAGGAAUAUAUAACGCUCCUUUCCUUCUUCCAUCUGUCAUAAAUUCUUGGCUCGAUGCAUCCCAAAGGCCCUUUAGAAAUGGUUUUUGGUUUGCUAGCCUUUUUCUGUCUGCUAAUUUGGAUGUGAUGGACCCUCGAUCCUCCAAGAUACACAAGAAGGGGUUCCUUCUCUUCAAGCGGGGCCCCAUUCACAUGCAAAGGCUUCACAUGCGACGGAUGAGGUGAAGCAGACAUCUCAGAGAGCGGCAUAUGCCCGUUUGAGCCUCUAUAUCUGCUGCACUUCCCACUGCUCCUUCCCCACCACCUAACACUUAUUACAGUGCCCAAACCCCUCUAGUACUCUCGCGCAUCCCUCACUACCUCUCUGUACUCAGGAAGGAAGGGGAGGAUGCUUCCUUCCUUCGCCGCUCUCCAUCACCUCUGGCUAUGCUAUUUCACCUUCCUCUCCCUUCAUCUCUGUGCUAGAGCCCUCCCUCAACAGGUUGGGCAUGGCUACCGUUUGGUCUCCAUAGAAGAGAACCCCAGCGGAGGAGGGCUGAUAGGAUAUCUCCAAGUGAAGCAGAGCACCACAACUUAUGGCCCUGAUAUCCCCCAUCUGAGGCUCUUUGUCAAGUAAGCAAAAAAAAAGAAGGAAAAUGAACUCUAUAUUCUUGAAAAAGUGAACAAAAGAUUGUAUUCUUGUUUGGUUCUUUAUUGUUCGGUAGAUAUGGUAUCCCAGUAAGUUUAUGUUAAGUAUAAUAUAUGAACUUUUUAUUAUUCUGCUGGCUUUUUUUGGGAUAAAAGCUUGUUGGCUUUUUUUUUUUGGGAGGAUGCUCAUUUUAUAAGAAUGCUGCUGGUAAUGGAUUUUCUUUACAUUAUCAGUUGUCUACUAUAUUUUAGAAGAAACCCUUUGUUUCCUAUGGGGGCUUUUGAUAAACUCCAGGUUUAUUUACUGGCAUAUAUUUUAAUGGCUACGGUUCUUUUCUCCAGCUAUUGAUUCUGGCAAGUUUAUAUGAGGAAGCCAUGAUUACAUUCUUUCUUAAAAUACCUAAAAUACAUUCUAUUUUAAAUGGGGUUUGAAAAACUCUGAGUCUGCUAUUUCUUCAGAAGAGCACGGAUGUGUAUUUUUUUUUCUUUUUUGUAUGAAAUUCGUAUUAGAUUGCUAUUUGGUUUCUUUCUAACAAAUGGAUUUGCUGUAGCUUCUAUUCAAUUGCAAAAGCUUUUUUUUCUUUAUCUAAUGCAUGGAUUUCGGAUACAUCUAAAGGUUAGAGCUAUUCUGCCUUUAUGGGCGUGCUAUACUUAUGACCUAAAAUUUUUAUUACUGCCUUUCCCCUUUUCGAUUGGAAGACGACCAUGAUAAAUAUUUGUGUAAUCAAGAAAAGCCCAUGGGUUUUGAAAAAUUUCAGAUAUAUUACCAAUAAAUGUCUAAUUUCUCCCCCUGGUUUUAUAGAAAAAAGGGGAAAAAAAUUAAGAAUGCAGAGGGAUCUUUGAUUUGCUAUUUGUUCCAAGUUCCAGGGUAUGUUAUGUGUUCUGUUCUAAAAAAAUUAUAUGAAUUUACACUCAUGAAGCUUCUUUGGUCCUUUGUUGAUAACUUAUAGGCAUGAAACCCAAGAUCGCUUGAGAGUUCAUAUAACUGAUGCAGAAAAGGAAAGAUGGGAAGUCCCAUACAACUUGCUCCCAAGGGAGCAACCCCCAGCUUCAGGGAGUUCCUAUGGGAAAUCUUCAAGCAGUCCCUUCACAGCUUCAGAGUAUGCGGGCGAUGAAUUAGUCUUCUGUUACACAGCUGACCCAUUUGUUUUUGCAGUAAGGAGAAAAUCCAAUGGGCAAUCCCUCUUUAAUUCAAGCUAUGGGACUAUGGUAUUCAAGGACCAAUACCUUGAGAUCUCCACUCAAUUGCCGAAGACUGCUGCUCUCUAUGGUCUUGGUGAAAACACUCAGCCUGGUGGGAUCCGGCUGCGGCCGAAAGACCCCUACACCCUAUACACGACUGAUAUAUCGGCCAUUAAUCUUAAUACUGACCUCUAUGGAUCUCACCCUGUCUAUAUGGACUUGAGGAACGAAGGAGAAGCCUCUGCUCAUGCCGUGUUGUUGCUCAACAGCAAUGGAAUGGAUGUUUUCUAUCGAGGGGCCUCUCUCACAUACAAGGUCAUUGGAGGAGUAUUUGAUUUCUACUUCUUCGCAGGACCGACGCCUUUGGCAGUUGUGGAGCAAUACACUUCAUUGAUUGGUCGCCCUGCUCCCAUGCCCUAUUGGGCACUAGGUAAAUUUCUUUCUUCACCCAUUUUUCUUCCAUCCUUUGAACCAAGCUUUUCAUUGUGUUGCUGCAUUAUUCUUAUUGCUCAAGUAGAUACAUCUAAUGAGAUAUUAGAAAACUUGUCGGUAAUGGUAAUUGGUCGAUCCAUUCACUAUUUCAUUUUUUUCAGCUUUACAAGCACAAGGGAUAUUAUGAUUAGUGAGUUGUUGGCACUCACUAAGGUAGCUGUUGGCAUUUUUUUUUAACAACAUAUAGGUCACUUGACUACCAAUAUAAGUUAGGGGAUUGGCAUGCUUCCUGUGAAACUAGUGUUUUUUUUUUUUGAAUUGAAAUGGAGGAAGGGAAAUGCUUCUCCCAACUUUUGUGUGAAAUUAGUGGUGAUGAUUUUUCUGGUGUUUGAGCUAGUGAUGGUUAAGUUCAUAGCAAUGCUUCUUGUAAAAUGUUAAUGAAGGAAUUAAUCUUGGGACUGCAGGUUUUUUAGUAAUAAUUUUGUUGUUUUUCUUUAAAAAAUGUUGAGAUACCUUUCUGCUAAACCCUAUUCCAUUUAACCCAUCCUGGAAGUUCCCACUUCUUUAUUCCUAUUAAUUGCAGUUGGUUACUAUGGGUAAGAUGGAAAUAGAAGUAUUUUAUCCCUAGAUCCAUAGCCACUGUCUUUUUACCUUGGAACCAAGUUCCUUUCCAUUGGCCUUUAAAUAGCCACCAUUAUUUAAAAGAAAAGAAGAAAAAGAGUCCUACCUUAUAUGCAAAUAAGAUAGAUCCCCUCAAUUAUACACUCCCAUUGGUCUUGUUUUUAGUCUUGUUUUUUUGUCCUGGACUCCUAUAUAUAAACAAAAUUAAGGGACCAGGUUACUCAUUAUAUACUUGAUGUUUCAUUUUAUCAUUAAUCCGUUAAACAAUCAGUUUUGUAAUUAAGAAGCUAUCAUUUAGUUUCUUUAAUGGCUUCUUAGGCUCAGAACAAGCAUCAUUGGUUGAUGCUUGAAAAAGUAUACCAAAAGGGAUCAUGAUGUUUAGGGAUUACCAAGCAAAGACUGAGCUAUUUAACUAAGUUCGCUCACAACUGAGUGUUGCCCAACUAGCUUUAGUGGAGGUUCAUAAAUUAGAAAAGGAGCUAUAGUGCAGCUAAUGAUGAGGGUCGGUAAUGGUUGGUAAUGUUGCUUCCUCUACUUUGCAGGAUUCCACCAAUGCAGGUGGGGCUAUCGCAACCUCUCUGUCGUGGAAGCGGUCGUGGAGGGCUACAAAAAUGCCCACAUACCGCUUGAUGUGAUCUGGAAUGAUGAUGAUCAUAUGGAUGCAGCUAAGGAUUUCACACUGGACCCUGUCAACUACCCUCGUCCUAAGCUCCUGGCCUUCCUCGACAAAAUCCACUCUCAAGGCAUGAAGUACAUAGUCCUGAUCGACCCUGGAAUUGCUGUAAACUCCACUUAUGGUGUCUUUCAGAGGGGAAUGGCCAAGGAUAUCUUCAUCAAGUAUGAAGCCGAGCCCUACCUAGCACAAGUUUGGCCUGGGCCUGUCUACUUCCCUGAUUUCCUGUACUCAGGAACAGUCUCCUGGUGGGUUGAUGAGAUUGCACGGUUCCACAAGCUUGUGCCUGUCGAUGGCCUCUGGAUCGAUAUGAAUGAAGCUUCAAACUUCUGCACUGGAAAAUGUGAGAUCCCAAAAGAUCAUUUGUGCCCUGUUCCAGACUCCACGACACCUUGGGAAUGUUGCUUAGACUGUAAGAACAUAACAAAUACCAGAUGGGAUGACCCACCUUACAAGAUCAAUGCAUCAGGGAUGCAAGCCCCAUUGGGCUACAAGACUAUAGCAGCAAGUGCAAUGCAUCAUGAUGGCAUACUGGAGUAUAAUGCACACAGCAUCUAUGGUUUCUCCCAAGCCGUUGCUACUCACGAGGCGCUUCAAGGCCUCGAGGGGAAGCGCCCCUUCAUACUCUCACGCUCUUCCUUUGUGGGAUCGGGAGCCUAUGCUGCGCAUUGGACAGGUGAUAACAAAGGCACAUGGGAUGAUCUCCGAUAUUCAAUAUCAACCAUGUUAAAUUUUGGUAUCUUCGGUAUGCCGAUGGUUGGCUCAGACAUUUGCGGGUUCUACCCGCAGCCUACGGAGGAACUCUGCAAUCGAUGGAUCGAGCUGGGUGCAUUUUAUCCCUUCUCAAGGGACCAUGCCAACUUUGCCUCACCCCGGCAAGAGCUCUACCAGUGGGACUCAGUCGCCAAGUCUGCUAGAAAUGCCUUGGGACUAAGGUACAAGCUGCUUCCAUAUCUCUACACAUUGAACUACGAAGCUCACGUCAGUGGCGCCCCGAUUGCAAGGCCGGUCUUUUUCUCAUUCCUUAAUUUCACUGCGAGCUAUGGCCUGAGCACUCAGUUCUUGCUAGGGAGCAGUGUCAUGGUGUCCCCCGUCCUGAAGCAGGGAGCAUCGUCAGUUGAAGCGUUGUUCCCCCCUGGUACUUGGUAUAGUUUGUUCGACUUCACCAAGGCCGUGGUGUCGCAGGAUGAGCGUUACGUAACGCUCGAUGCGCCGCUGAACGAGGUUAACGUGCAUGUCUACCAGAACACCAUACUUCCCAUGCAGCGUGGAGGAAUGAUCUCCAAGGAGGCGAGGACCACCCCAUUUACUCUAGUGGUUACCUUCCCUCUUGGAGCCACCCAAGGUGAUUCAAAGGGAAAUGUCUACGUGGAUGACGAUGAGCGCCCGGAGAUGAAACUUGUGGAGGGCGAGGCAACAUAUGUCGAUUUCUAUGCCAGCGUCCGUGAGAAGAGAGUGACAGUGUGGUCUGAGGUGAAGAUGGGGAAAUUUAGUUUGGAGAAGGGGUUGAUGAUUGAAAAGGUGAGCGUAUUGGGACUACAGGGAGGCACCGGAAAGGGGCUGGCGAUUGAGGUGGAUGGGCAACCUCUCAAUGAUAUCUCUAAUGUUUAUUUCAGGGAGUCUCCUGCAGUGCAUGUGGAGAAGCUGGAGGUUGGGAAUAAGAGGAACAGUAUGAUGGUUGAGAUUGGGGGGCUGGCAUUGCCGCUGGGGAAAAAGUUCUCCAUGUCCUGGGUAAUGGGGAUCGAGGGAUGAGUUUAGGAUUUCACGAGACUUGUUUCAUGGUAAUUUUUAUGCUGCUCUCUUUCCUUUCAAUUCUCUUAUUUCCUUUUGUUUUCUGAGAUUAAGUGAAGGAUAAUCCACUAAAGAGCCGAGAAAAAUCUCUCGUUGCUGCUUUAUUCUAAAUUUGCUGAAAACAAUCCUCCAACUUUCUGAUGUUAAACUUUGGGUUUAGUUGCUGCCUUUUCAUGUCUACGAAGAGAUAGCUUUAAUUUUAUCAAUCCCGACAAAUUGCAUCUUUUUGAGCCUGAUCCGCUGCAUGUGUCGGUAAUGCAGUUGUUCAUUCCACUUUGAUGAGGCAGAUCCAGUCCUCGUCUAACAAAAUAAUUUACUUUGUCCUUUUACUAAGAUUCUCCUUCAGAGAAGCAAUUGUAGACACAAACUCUUAUGCAGGACAAUGAGCAGCCGGGGCGGAUGGCAUCUAUAUAAUUGUGCACCACUACAGCAAGCUUCCUGUAAAUCUGACUUCUUGCUGCGCCCACCCUUACCCUUGCAUGGCACUCAGUUAACCAUGGGAAUGGGUGUUGAAAAUUAUUGAAAAUUGAUGACAUAGAAUCCAACAAUAUCCGUCCCGAGCUCUACAAGGAUCUUUAUCCAUGAUAAAGAGUCCUUCGGACAUCUGUUUAGAGUGUAUCAGCUUGCACCUUGCGCAGAAGCUUUUAUUUAGAAACUGGAUCACUUCUGAAGAAAAUGCUCCACUUUGCAAAGUAAAGGAAAAAUAAAAUAGUUUUUUCUGCGCGAAAUCAUCAUAGGUUUUUAAUGUUUUAAGCAUCCUUCUUGAAAUUUCUAUCUAGACUUUACUAGAAUGUUUAAAUGUUCUCUUGAUGGUCAGAUGAUGCAUGAUGCGUCUAGAUGUACGGUUUGUGUUGCUAUUCUUAUAAUUUGGAGAAAUACAACUAAGUUUUCAGAAAUGGAUGGUAACAAAUUGAUGACAGCAACUUUUUUUUUUCUUUUUAGAGGAAUGAUCGCAGCAAUCUAAUUUUUGUACUUGAAUGAACAAGAUGUGGAUAUGAAGGUAUGUCCUCAUUUCAGAUAUUCCAUUAUGAACCUUGACACGAAUAUAAACAGACAACAAAAAAGCCAUCUGGAUAUGCACCUACAAAGAAGAGCAAACGCCCAACAAAGAACCCUCCCAGGUAUAUCCAAGCUUCUACGAAUCCUCCUUUGCCACAGAGCUUGGGCUAAGAGCUCCGUCCUGUAGUAAACAAAGCCUAACUUCUUAUGUAUAGACCUCCUAGUUCUGUUUAUUGCACCACUUGGCCAUCAAUCAUAACACCAAGCACAUACUCUUCUUCUUUUUUUACUUGGAGAUAAAAUUCGCAUGCCACCAAACCCAGUCAACUGAACUAAGCCCGGUUUAUUAAGACUUCUAAAAUACUCACGGGCAAAAUCUGGUUAUGUAACCAUCUAUGCCUUCUAAUGUAGGCUCUAUUUGGAGGAGCUGUCGGCAGUAGAGCUUUUGGAAGUAGAACUAUUGUAAGUAGAGCUUUUAUAAAAAGCUGUUUAUUGUUUGGUAAUUAUAUUUCUAAAGUGUUGUGGUACUUUAACAUGUAUUUGGUAGACAAACUGAGAAAGUACUUUUGUACGACAAAAUUACAAUAAAGGACAUUAUAUAGAAUUAUACAAUAGAGCAUAAUAAAAUAUAACAUAUAUUAUUAUAUAAAUAUAUGAUAUAAUAUAAUAUUACUGUAAUAUAAUAUAAUAUUAUUAUAAUAUAGUAAUAUAACAUUGUAUACUAUAGCAUAAUAGUUUAAUAUAAUAUUAAAUUAUUUAGUAUAACAUAUCAAUGUAUUAUGAUAUAAUAUAAUAUUAUAUUAUAUUUAUAGUAUAAUAUAAUGUUAAAAACCUUCUUAUUGUAUUAAAAACAUGGGUUUGUAAAACCAAAAAAAAUGCAAUUUAGUGUAGCAAACCUUUGAGAGAUGAUGACAAAUUUUAUCGGCAAAAGAAGAGGGUUUGUCAUCAUCUCUCAAAGGUUUGCUACACUAAAUUGCAUUUUCUUGGUUUUUCAAAUCCAUGUUUCAGUUUCUUGUAAAACAUUUCUUGUAAGUCCCCACAUACCAUGUCUGGAAAAGAAAAAUAUCUCAAAUGACUGUUUCGAACCUUCCUCUUUACAAAUCAAAUUAACCAAAAAGUUCUUUGAAAAAAUAUCUUCAACCAACUGAGAUUAAGAAAAAAUGAAUCUUUAACAUGACAACAAUCUGGAUGCACAAAAUACUAUUUAUGAAUUUUACGAUAUUCCUGUUAAUGCAAUUCAAGCCGAGUACUUCAUGAGCUAGCUUUCUGCAGUAAAUUCCCUGAUAGUGAUGACCAUGAAACGACAAGCAGUAAAUAUCCCAUUCCAGCACUAUGUUGUAGUAAUUCUCCCCCCUGACCCUCAACUGCAGCAUUAAGUCCUCUGCGAAUUUAUUCCAGCUCUGACAAGUACGCGUGGGUCUUCGGUUGAAGCUCUGGAAUUGAGUAAAUGCGAAGGGCACGACUCCUUGGUGCCGUGAAUCUCGCAUCAAAAGUUAGCAGGCUGGUACAUUUAUGCAAACAGCUACCUUGUGGUACAAAGCUCGUAAUUAUCUCUUGCAUGGUUGGAUCACCGGAAACCUGGCAUGCAAGAUCGUCCUUAAAUUGGAGCAGGCCAAAUUCGGUGGUUUGGACUUUGGACUGUCUCGUUUUGCAGCUUUAUUUUCUAUCUUUCCUUGAAUAAGGAAUAUCAAACCACAAUGUCUUUGUAAAUGCUUCUCUCCAAUUUGGAGUUGAAUUGGAGAAUCCAACCUUCCAUCACCAUGAUCUAUGUAUGAUGUGACAAUCACGACUAUUUGAGUCAUGGAGUCUUAUACAGCAUGUCCACUCAAUUAUAACAGCCACACAAUAAAUGAAUAGUCAUGGUUAAGGGACUUAAUCUUGUCCAAUUCAAUUCCAAAUUGAAAAAGGAGCUUGACUCAUUUAUAAAACAUUUAAGUUUUUGUAAUGCAUGCCUAAUGUUUUCUGAAUGUUAUGGAUAAAGUUUUUCCUUGUGCUAUUCACAAACCAAGCCAAAUAAAGCUACUUUUAUUUGCAAAAACCCUGCAUGUUUUUGGUUGCUAUGUCUGUUGAACAAAAUAACUCUAUACACAAAUAAUCUUCAUGGGUUUAUAAUGUAGGGGCUAGAGUUGGGUUAGGUUGGAUCAGGGUAUGCUUGUCCCGGACCCAACACGGUUUAAUGCUUUAGUCUUGAUUUUAGUAGACUUGGACCUAAUCUAUUGGUUGACUAGUUUUGGACCAUGGAACAAAUUUUAAACCCCAUGGGUCUAUAUUCAAAUUCUGGUCGCGACCUAGUUGGGUCCAUAUUUGAAGUCUAACAUUAACCAUUAUCGUAUAGCUAAAGUAUAUCAAUUAAUAAUAAAAUCAUUGAAAUUUUUAGGUAAAACUAAAAAGCCAACUUAAACAUAAAUUUUGAUUAAAAACUAUUUUAAUUUGAUCCAAACAAACAAACAUACCUAUGGAACAAGUCUACAAACUAUGAUGUAAUAUAUAGACACACACCCUUAUACUUGAGAAGAACAUUGUAAAUAAGAAUCUUCUAAAACAAAUAAUAAAUAUUUAAGUAUGAUUAUGUGAAAGUAGGUGAGAGGAGAUGGGGUUGUAGACAUAAAUAAUGAAGGAUUGAUUUAGAUAAGGUUCAUUGCAUGAAUUGAAAUAUAAUUAGGGUGAGAAAUAAGGGGUCAUAUAUAUUUUGAAUUUUAGGGUUUGGUUAUAUCGGGUUUGAAUCUAGUCGGGCUUGGUUUUGUUGACCCAAAUUAGACUCAGGUAUUCUAUGAGGCAAAUCAAAUUACAUCAGAAAAAUAAAACUCAAACCUAGUCCAAUUUCCAAAUUAGAUCCAACUAGUAAUCAUGACUCACCCACAAGUCUUCAAAAAUGAAUGGAGUCUGAUCUAAUUGCAUUAGAACUAGGUCGAGUCAUAGGCUGACCUGAUCUAUUUGCAAACUUGUAUUUUUGUGAACUAGAAUACCUAACAGAUUUUUAUGACUCAUCCAUCAGCAUAUCUUACUUAGUUGUAAGUAAUACAAACUUCGAGAACGUUUUUCACCCAGAGCUCCGCUCCAUGUCGGAAACAAUGAGUGCUCUCCAUUCUUGGGCAUAGCAAUUUUGAGAAAUUAUAUCGAGUAAUGCAUGCACCAUAUGGCCAUGCAUUAUACCAAUUAGAUCUCUCAUUCUUAUAGGCUUCAUUCAUGGUAGUUGUUGGCCCAUAGUGCGACGCCACAUUGGUGCAUCCGGUGCAGGGUAGGAUAUAAUUUGCCAGCAACUUCACGUUCUAUUUUGCGCUUCUCAAGCUCGGGUGGUACGAAGUCCAGCUUUUUAUGGUCACAUGUUUUAUCUUCUAGCGGUAGGCAACGGCCAAGCCCAUGUACGCAGCAGCACAUUACGUCCAAGCCCAGAAAGAAUACGUAGAAUAGUUACCAGGCCACAGGGUCCAGUUGAGCUCAACUUGGAGACCCAACUCCAAUCUAGUCCGUUCGAUGACCCAAACCGGACGAGCUGGAUCAUAGAAUCCACCAAUCAAACACA
rnacentral:lncRNA from 1 species